rnacentral:lncRNA from 1 species
AAUGGGGUUUGCAAUACAUCCUUCAAGGCAUUAAACCACGGACCUUCGAGGAAUUGGCCACUCGUGCCCAUGACAUGGAGUUGAGCAUCGCCCAUCAUGGGAAGAAAGAACCGAUCGCCGACUACAAGAACGACAAAGUUGUUGGGCCAAAGGAGGAGAAGACUGCGUGGAAACCCACCAAAGAGACAAUGACGGUUAACACAACUCCCGUCAAAAUCUCCACACGAGGCAAGGCGAUUCAAACCGAAGCUUUUCGUGAUCAAGAGAUGCGUAGACGCACUUUGAAGGAGCUUGAGGAGAAGAUUUAUCCGUUCCUCAACUCUGAUGUGGUUGCCAUGCUGGAUGACCUGUUGGACAAGAAGGUGAUCAGUUUGCCUGAGUGCAGACGACCGGAAGAGAUGAAUCGUACCGACAGCCCAAGAUACUGUAAAUUCCACCACUUUAUCAGCCAUCCGACAUAAAAGUGCUUCGUGCUGAAAGAUCUCAUCAUAAAGCUGGCUCAGAAAGGAAUCAUCGAGCUAGAUCUUGACGAUGUGGUGAAGUCAAACUAUACCACCAUCACUUUUGGCUCUUCCGACUCAAAGUUUUCACUUCAACCACUGGGGGCAUCCUCCAAGAUAAGCAAAGUUGAAGGAUUGACUCAAGUCACUCCUAAGAAAUUGCACAAGAAGCAUACGUCUCCUCCACAAGUCCGCCAAUCGGAAAUGGGGCAAAGCAGCUCUUGUCAACCUUCAAAGCAACGUGAACGUGUUGAAGAUGAUGAAAUUUCGACAUAUAGAUCGUCCAUCCCCAUCACGAUGCGUGAUUUCUUGCCCGAAGACUUCUUCAAUCACUCGGUCAAGGCUCCUUGCUAUGAAGAUUAUGAGGAACGCCUCUCCAAAAUUGCUUGACAAAUUCACCAAUGCUCCUUGUUCGCACGAGCCUAAACUGCAUGGCACAAUGCUCCUGGUCUGCACGAGCAUAAAAGGCAACACCAACGCUCCUGGUCUGCACGAGCAUAAAAGGCGACAACCCAACGCUCUUUGCCUGCACGAGCUGAAACUGCAACAUGGCACCAAAUGCUCCUUGCCUGCACGAGCUGAAACUGCAACACGGCACCAAAUGCUCCUUGUUCGCACGAACCAAAGCUCAUUGUCUACACGAGCCUAAACUGUAGGACACGAGGCUCCUCGCCUGCACGAGCCUAAAACUGCAAACGGCACAAAAAAAGAAAAUACCAAAAAAAAUAUAUGUAUGUAUUCGAACUACGUUAAGACUUGAUCUCUUCUUUGGAAGGGUACGUAGGCAGCUUGAAUAUUCAAUUUCGAGUUCAGUCACAUUAAAAUAAAAAAUAAGGGUUUUAUUAAUGAAAGUCAAUUUCAUUACAAAAAAAAAAAAAAAAAAAAAAAGAAUACAUAUGUGAUUACUAUGUACUUAAAAAAAUUACAUAUAUUAAAAAAAAUUAUAUAUAUAUAUAAGUAAAUAAAUAAAAAAGGAAGUGGAUGGAUCAAAGUUCUUGGGCUAGAAAAUCUAGAAGGUUCAGCAAUCAUUUAAUUGGGGCUUGAAAUCGUGAUGAGCCCAGCCACAAAUCCAGCUCCCCAAGUCUCUCUCUCAACUCAUUUCUCCUCAGCCCAUCAAUUAAAGUCCAAGCUCAGCGGCAGAGUCGGCCUGAUCAUUCAGAACAGUCCCAGCUCUCCCUCAUCUCCUCAUUGUUGUUGAAGAUGAUCAAAUCUACCUAGCCGUGGUAAAUUAAAGAAGAAAUAGAGGAACAAUGGCUUCCUCUAUGGUUCCGUCCGCCGCGGAGAUUAGGACCCUCACGAUCUCCUCCGACAACCGCCCCAUGAUUCUCUUCGAGAAGUUCGGGUUCACCCACAUCGGUCACGUGAGCAUCCGGGUCUUGCACGUGUCCGUCACCUCCAAGCACCCCGAUAUCGAUCCCUCCCGCUUCGGCUUCUUCCUCCUCUCCGAGAGUCCCUCCUCCAGGUCCUCGUCGAGAUCCAGCAGAACCCCCAGCUCUGCGUCUUGGACUCCCGCUACAUCACCCACCUCUUCAAUUUCAAGGAGCUCUCACCGCCGCCGCAAGCUUCCUUCAACCACUCCUACCCAGUCUCCGCCCCCAACGAAUACAGCCUCUUCUUCGCCAAUUGCGUGCCGGAGACCACCGUAUCCAUGAUCGUAUGGACGGAGGUCUACAAUCUUGACCCGGAUGGUUCCCGCGACUACCUUUCGGCCGGGUUGACCAACCUGCCAUCGCUGUUUUCGGUCUUUUUUCUCGCGUAUUUGGUGUUUGUGGGCUUCUGGGUCUACCUCUGCUACACCAACAAGAGAUCCGUGCACCGCAUCCAUCUUCUGAUGGGCGGAUUGCUUUUGAUGAAGGCGUUGAAUCUGAUUUGCACGACGGAGGACAAGCACUGCGUGAAGGGGAAGAAGAAGUUCAUGAAGCAGAUGACCCACGGGUCCAAGAGCCACAGAGCUCUCGGGUCUAUCGGUGCCGGAACCACGCCGGGGCGGGUUUACAAGGGGAAGAAGAUGCCCGGGAGAAUGGGAGGAACCAAGACCAAGAUUAGGAAGCUGAAGAUUGUGAAGAUCGAUAAGGAGCUCAAUGUUGUGAUGAUCAAAGGCGCUCUGCCUGGGUUGCCAAAUCAAGAAGAAAUAUUUUCUAUUUCACCCUAUUCCGAUGAUGAAGAAAAACAGCCCUCAAUUAUUAAAGAAUGAGUAUGGGCGUCCGUUGAAAUUAUCUCUGAAGAGGGUUGUGGGAUGCGACGCGGCAGGAAGCAAGCCGAGCUCCAAAUGGUACAGAGCGCACAUGGUGUUGACGGUGCUGACGGUGGUUCCAAGGGUCGUAGGCGGUGCUAGUAUUCACGAGGGUUUCCUCCUGCAAUUCUCCCGUCAACGCCUCCACCUCUACAGCACCGAGACUCUUCCUCUGGUCAACGAGCAGCAGCCAAGCCGCCUCGUCAUCCUCAUCUCUGUCAAGUUCCAUCCCUGCAAAUUCCUCAAACCCGUCCUCCAAAUUUAUACAAAAAAAAAUAUAAUAAAAAAUAUAUGGUGCAGAUUGCACCAUCUGAAAAGAAUAAAAAAAUAAUAAUAUAAAAAAAUAAAAAAAUAAAAGGGGAUGGUGCGGAUUGCACCAUCUGAAAAGAAAAAUAUAUAAUAAUAAAAUAAUAUAAAAAUAAAAAAAAUAAAAAUAUAUAAAAAAAAUAUAAAAAAAAAUAAAUGGUGCGGAUUGCACCAUCUAAAAGAAAAUAUAUAUAUAUAUAAAAUAAAAAUAAAUAAAUAAAUAAAAAAUUUAAAUAAUAAUAAUAAUAAUAAUAAAAUAAAAUAAAAAAAGAGAAAUGCAUUGAGAGAUAGAAGUCCAUUUUAUUUUUGGAAAUUUUACAUAAAUUUGCAUUAUACAUACCUAAAAAAAAAAAUCAAUCAAAUCGAAUUUACAAGAGGCAAUCUUCAAGGACGAUCAAGUAGCGCCUCACCACUCGGCAGAGCUCUAGGAAGAAGAUGCGCCGGAGGUUGACUGUUUGAAGCCUCAUCACUCGGCGGAACCCCAGGAGGAGGAGGCACCAAAGGUUGAUCAUUUGGUGCUUCAUUACGCGGUACAGCCCCAGAAGACGAAGGCAAAUGCUGCUGGAACAAACCCACAAACCUCUGAUGAUUAAGUAAAAUCUGACCAUCAGAUUCCUGCAUCUGGUCAAUCUUCCUCUUCAUGUUUGUCGCAUAGCUAUGUGCGAGCUUAUGCAAUUGUUUAUUCUCCUGCUUGAGCCCUCUAAUCUCCUGCUUGAGACUUAUCACUUCCGCCGCCAAUGAUUCAACUUGACGGGUUCGAGCAAAUAGGCGUUGGGCCAUAUUAGACACAGAACCUGCACACUGCACACUGAGAGCCAGAGAAUCCUUAACAGCCAACUCAUCAGACUGUUUGGAAAGUAGUCUGUUAUCUCUGGGAGUGACAAGGUUCCGGGCCACCACCGCAGCGGUCAUAUCAUUCUUCACUACUAAAUCCCCAACGGUAAGAGGACCAGUAGGGGAUAUGAAGGAUGAGCGUCAUAUGUUGUCUGGAGAAGAAGGGAUUGCCUCUUCACCAAGGUUCAAAUCAAAACGACGAUCGGAGGGGCCAUACAUUUUCAAAAUGUUGAAGAAAGAAAAGAUCAGACAAAUCAAGAUCUUAGAAGUGCAAGAAUGGAGUUUUCACAAGCGAAAAUUCAAUUGUGCUUUGAAACGAACAACGUGCCUCUAUAAAAAAUCAGCACUCGACGGGAUUUCAGAGAUCGAAGAGGCGAGCUCAGAAUUCGAAGGGGCCAAUUCAAGUAUUGAAGAGGUGCUAGCUUUCUCAAAAGCUGGGCUUGCUAAAAAAGACACGGGCGAUUUUACUUUCCAGACUUGUCCGCACUUGUCACAUGCAACCUCUACACUCGACAAAGCUCAGAAAUCGGAGAGGCAUCUUGCUUUUCCAGACGCGUCAGCACCCAUUACACGCAAACUCAACUUUGCGGAAGUCACGGGUAAUUUGUCGAAGCGCCGAUCCCAGAUAUCGAAGAGGCGCCAGUCUUUUUCAACCGCGUCAACACCUGUUAUAUGCACACUCAGCUUUGCGUAAGUCACGGGCAAUUUGUCGAAGAUUUUCGGUGAAGGAGAAAACACGUGAAGUUUACUGUUCAAUCAUCCAACGGUUGUCGACACGAGUGAAAAAAUAAUACCUCUACAGGUAUUAAGGAACUUCCUAUAACUGUCCACCUUCACCCUUCAUAACAAUGCAAACAUACAGAACCUUUCUUCAUCUCCAAAAAAAUGCUUUCCCAACGAAACCUCUCGAGUCAUUCAAUGUUCCUUAUUCCUUGGGGUACCUCUGCAAGCCAAUGACUCCAAAGUAAAAGUAUCUCAUAUCACCAGGGUAGAAAGCAAAAGUAUCUCAUAUCAUGCGUUCUCCCUAUCCUUUCCUUUGUCCUUGUUCCUACCUACAAAGACAAGGAUAAAGAAAACAAUAUGCCGGAACUUCCACUCAAACUCGGGUAAGAAACCGACUGCUUGGAACCUUUCCCUGAGUGCCUGCCUAGCACUGCUCUCGAGUACUCGUCUUCCACUGCUGCUGUACUUUCAAAGAAGCUACCAUAUCUGCCUGGAGAACAGAUAAGGCAAGUGAAAAUGAUACCUUGCAGCAUGUGGAGACAAGGUGCAGAAGGAACAAGCAGAGAAGAAUGCGUUCUGCACAGUCAACUCAGCAGAAGAAGUCCGAGCUGAAGAACUCGAGAAGCUGCCACAUCUGCCUGAAGAAACAAGCAGAGAAGAAUGCAGCAUGCACAGUCAACUCAGCAGAAAGAGUCUGAGAUAAAGAACUUAAGAAGAUGCCACAUCUGCCUGAGGAACAGAUAAAGCAAGGGAAAAUAAUACAUUGAAGCAUGUGGAGACAAGCACAACAAAGCACGUGCCGAUUCAUCCGCUGCUUCUUCAAAAUCAAAAGUAUCUCAUAUCAUCAGGGUUGCAAUCACUCUGGACGGUGAACUCGUUUUGACCCUGAAAUUCUUGGGUCGACUUACUAGGUGUUGUGGGAUGCACGUGCCGAUUCACCACCCUUGAAUCGAAUCCUUAAAGAUCAAGUCACCAACUGGAAGAAAGCCCCAUCAAUCUUGAAGAUCAUACCGUUGACCAAACUGCUCAGGUGUGAAUUAGAAAGAUUGAACAAAGAAACAGGUUGUCACCUUUACCUCGUGCCUGCUUGCCAUGUGUUCGAGUCAACCUUUAAGAAUCAAGCCUCAACGGCCCUUGAAGAAGUUUCCAACCAAAUUCAAGAUCAAGCCUCGACGGCCCUUGAGGAAAUCACAAGUCCAAUUCAAGAUUAAGUGUCUACCACCAUUGAAUCAAAACCUAGUUCAAGAAUAAGUUGUGGAAAAUCAACAAUUGGAGGAAUCCAGAAAAUCCUCCAACCCAGUUCAAGAUCAAAGCUGUGGAAAGUCAACAAGCGCAACAAAAUAUGUGCCGAUUCACCCACUACCAAAGCCAAAGAUCAUCUACCACAUGAAGCUCCUUGUGGUCCAAUUUCAACCUUCAAGAUCAAGCCUCGACAGCCCUUGAAGAAAUUUCAAACAAAAGUUCAAGAACAAGCCUUAACGGCCCUUGAAGAAAUCUCAAGCCCAAUUCAAGAUCAAGCUUCAAUGGCCCUUGAAGAAAUCUCCAGCCUAAUUCAAGAUCAAGCCUCGACGGCCCUUGGAUUGACAUCUACAGUAAAGGACUUCAAAACGCAUCUCCUACACGUGACAAGCACAUGUAUACGACGCGCCUUGAAGUGGGGGCAUUUGUAGACAUCGAAAUUUCGGUAAAUAAAUGUUGACCGAUAAAUCAAAGUGUCAACGCUCAUGUAUUACAUAAAUUUUACACGUAGCGUGUGACUCAACGAAAAUUGAAAUGAGUUGGAAAAGUCAUCAAAUAGGACACGUGUCAACACCUGGCAGAAACGACUUAUUUCAUCUGGGAUAUUAUAUUCAAAAUUAGGCCUUGGAAAAUUCUAUAAAUACAAGCCCAUUUCAUUCAUUUGAGGGGGAACCAAAAUCAUUAGGCAAAAUUCUUAAAGCUCUGAAGUUCUGAAACUCUAAAACUCCGAAGCUCUCAAGCAUCCAGGUUCCCGAAGAAUCAAGAAAUCUCUCUUCGUUCUUCGUUCAUCGUUCUUCGUUCAUCGUUCUUCCAAGAUCAAGCCCCAACGGCCCUUUGGAUCAACAAUCAUCCACCACUUCAAGAUCAAGCCCCAACGGCCCUUGAAGAAAGUGUUCUUCGUUCUUCGUUCUUCGUUCAUCGUUCUUCCAAGAUCAAGCCCCAACGGCCCUUGAAGAACUUCCACCAAUUCAAGAUCAAGCCCCGACAGCCCUUGAAGAAAGUAUUCAUCGUUCAUCAUCCGUUCAUCCAAGAUCAAGCCCCAACAGCCCUUUGGAUCAACAAACGUCGACAAAUCCACACAUCCAACCGUUCUUCAAGAUUAAGCCCAAAAGCCCUUGAAGAUCCGUUCAUCACUGUUCUUCAAGAUCAAGCCCAAAAGCCCUUGAAGACCCGUUCAUCAUCGUUAUUCAAGAUCAAGCAUUAACGGCCCUUGAAGAAAUACUCAUCAAACCCCAACGGCUUAUUGAAGAUCCGCUCAAAUCCACCUUCAAAGAUCAAGCCCACGGCCCCUUGAAAGAAACUUCCAAUAGUUCAUCCAAGAUCAAGCCUCGACAGCCCUUGGAUCAACGAAACAUCCACAAAUCAACGCCUUACGGAGAUCGAAUCAGAGGAUCAAAAUUGAGAGAGAUUGUAACCCAAAAUCAUCAAAUACAUAAUAUUUGUUUGUGCACGUUGUUCUUGUCUCUUUCGUUUCAGGAAUUUUCCGUGUUUACAGUCAUUUACGCUUUAUUCUUCUUACUGAAUUUCAUUUUUAAAAUUUUAUUUUUUGAAAACAUGAUCAUCUGGCGGAUGUAAGAAGAUGAUAUCAUGUUUCUAUAUUUACGGUUAACUGAAAUAUGAGUCAAUGUCAUAUAAUUUGUAGAAACUUUAUAAACAUCAAGCAAUAUUUUCACUAACCGUAAAACUCUAAAUAUAAUAUCAACGAUCCAAACCGUUCAUCUACCUACACCCUCUAAUAGAUCAUGUUUUCAAAAAUGAAAAUCUAAAAAAACGAAAUUUGAUAAGAACAAUGAAGCAUAAAUGUAAACAACAAUCAACGGUUAAAUUUUGAUCUAUGAAUUAUAUGAUUAUAGUAGCGAAUUUCGAAGUUAAGCUCUUCAUAAAAGUUAUAAAGCUUAUCAUUAAGAGUGUUUAUAUAUUUUUUUCUAUAUUUUUUUACACUUCUACAUUAAUUAAAAAACUAUUAAAGACUUUAGGUAAGCGAAAAUAUACUUCAAACAAAAUUGUGUUUUUAUGUUUUGGAUGUGAUAAUAUGGAAUGUAUAUACUUAUUUAGUAUUAUGUUUUUCAUUUGAUUAUUUAUUGGUUUAAAAUAUAUUUUUCUUAACGGGUAACGGGUCAGGUCAUAUUACCUGUUAAUAUUAUCGGGUCGAUUUCGGGUCGGGUCAUUUUACCCGUUUAUUUUAACGGGUGUUACACGACACGACCCGUUAAGAUAUCAGAUAUGACACGAAAACGACACGAACACGGAAAACACGAUACGAAUGCCAAGUCUAAUAUAUAUAUAUAUAUGUAUAUGUAUAUGCUUAUAUCUUAAUUAUGGGAAAAUUUUACAUGUUUUACAGCAAGGGGUUAGUAUGUUGAUAAAUGAAAUGGUUUUGUAAAACAUUUGUUUUUGCCCACUCACGUUUUCUAUUUUGCGCCCCUUUAGGUUUUAAGUAAGCUUGUUGUUGGUGGCUUGAGGAUGUUGGCAGUUCUGACUUAUCUAAAUAAUAGUAGGACAUUUCUGGUACUGUAUAACUAGUACUUGUCCUACUGGACUACACCUAAACUUUAUGCUCUGAUUAGGAGUGUUCACUGUUGUAACUAACACUAUCACUUUCUGUUUAGUAGUACACUCUAGUAAUUUGGUUUUUAAUUAUUCGUAUAUUUCUUAUCUUUAUUGCUUCAGCACUACGCACAUGGCUACGUCACUCUCACGUGACGUCCAGCAUGCCUUGAUCUCGGUCGGGGUGUGUCAGUGAAUGUUCAUGCUAUCAGGGUUGCAAAAAUAUCAAGAUAAAAACCUUUGUUUUGGAAGAACCUGAUUACGUGAUGAUAUAGAUGAACUGGUUUGUUGCAAAAAAAGCUUCAUUGUUAGAUUCUUAAGUGCAGCAGUAAGAGCGUGUUGUAGCUUAUUUUAUCUCACUACAGGGUAUGGGCAAUGGCAGGGAGAGACGUGUUUGUAGAAUCAUAGGGGAAUGUGUGUUGAGAAUGUGUUAUCUCCCUACGCAGUGCUUUUAUUUAUAGUAAUAAGAGGAAGAAUAAUUCCUUCAUCCCUAAGUAAUACAAAUCCAUAUAGGAAAGAAUAACUAAAAUAAAAUCUAAUCUAGGAUUUACACAAUCACACUUAAAUUAGGAAAGUUUAUAACACCAUCUAAAUUCUAAUAAUUAAUUAUACUUUUUUUUUAAACUAAUUAAAAGGGUUUGAAAAUUUUGAGUUUUAACGAUAUAAAGUGAAUAGUACCAAGAUUAAUUUUUUAGUGUAAAAAUGUGGUUUUUCGUUAAAGUGAACAGUACUAGAAACUUUUCUUUAAAGUUCCUUUUUUUUUUUUUUUUGAUUUUUUUGAUUGGAAAAAUAAAAAAAAUAAAAAAGGUGGAGGAGGGUGCAUCAUGCAGUGGCACGUGACUUCACACGAACGUCUUCCAGGAACUCAGGAAUUAAGCAUACAGACAAUCGCCGAAAGGUCUUCAAUUUGGGGUCACAUGAGUUAACUACGUCCGUCCGAUCAACAUACUUUUCUUGUUCCAACAAUCCAGCCGUAAAUAAUUAAACGCCACCAUAGCAUCGUACACCUGAAGCAACACCGUAAUAUAUCUCCUCUUGGCGAGCCGGAAGAGCAAGUGUCUUUGUUCUUCGCUGGAAAUAUUUUUCUAUUCAUUUUCUUUUCCGAAUUCCGAUUAUCCAAACGGGAGCGAGGAAGAAGAAUCCGUCGGACAAAAUCUCACUGACCGGAGCAUCCAAUCCAAAUGGCGGUUUCCGUGACGGCGUCCACGAUUCCUUCUCUCAGCUCUGACCGUACGACUCGCUUAGCUGCGGCGGCGGCCUCAUCCUCCUCCUCUUCUUCUUGUUCAAAGCUGUCUUCCUCUACUUCUCUGCGAUUUCCGGCGCAGCUUCGACGUGUUCGGAUCGGAACUCAGGACUCACGGCCUCGGCUUCUUCCUCCGGUAAUGAAUUUUCCGUUUUUGUAGUUUCGUAGUCUGUUUGUUUCCCGAGAAAAUCGAGGAAUUUAACCUGAUGAAAUUGUGUAGCGUUAAAAUUCCUGUUCUAAAAUUUCUGUGUUUUGUAGUGGAAGAGAUUGCAAAAUUUAAAUUUAGGAAGCAAAGCAUACAACUGCAAAUCUUGUUGUUAUCAUAUUUAUGGCCCAAACACCAAUUGCUUUGUAUUUCUUUGGUCCUUGCCGUUUCCUAUGAGUUGUGAGAAAAUCACAUGGGUCGGUUUUCGGAGUUUCCAAAUUUUAGUCUUUUCAAGAGAAUAAAGACAUUUAAUCGAAAAGUGCAGGAAAAGUAAACUCAGAGGAUGGUUUGCAAGACAUAGAUUUAGCAUGCUACAGGAGGCAUGUGGAAUAUAGAGCUUAAGGACAUGGAACUCACUAUUGAUUGUCUUUGAAAUGGUUUUGUACUUGAUUUUGGCGCACGCAGUUGAUUUUUUAGACUAUCGGUAAACUAAUUUGGAAUCAAACCUCUCUCAAACAAUUAGAAUGCACAAUGUCACCGAUAUAGGAUAUUAGGUUGCAUCAGUUUGAUCUUCCCCCAUUUUCCAGGUAAAGUACCUUUUCAUGAUAACCGUUUGGGGCAUAAAGUUGGGAAGGGACAACCUAGAACCAAAAUUAUUGAAUGGGAUGAAAGGUGUAGAUUGUAAAACUUGGAUAGUAUAUCUUGUAACGAUUUGAAUGAUAGAGACAGUGAGCAAAUCCAUAUUCGGGGCCUUCAUGCAUGGACUCGAGUGUUCUUUAAUCAUCUAAUCAGAAGCCGAUUGUUUAUACCAGUCAAUCGACGGUCCUCCUAUCACUACUGGCUUUGCCUCAAGUUACAAGUGAAGUUUCAAUUCAGGAUGAUGACCUAUCAUGUUGAAGAUCAACACCAGCCCAAUUGGUGUUUGGAUUCUAGAAGAUUCUAGCAGCAAGUCUAGAGGGCAGAGCUUCCUGAAGACUUGCACUUUGUCCAGGUGCAAUGGAACUAGAUUUUUCUAUAGAAUUAUCUAAAGCUAAGUAGUCUUUUGUAGAAAGGAUUAGAAGGAUGUUUCUUAUGUCGGUGGAAGGCUGUGUGCAUGAUCAAUGCACUAGAAAGUUCUAGUGAUAGUAUAAGUCGGCAAACAUGCCUUAUAAAUAUGUAUGUAUGAGUGUUGUAAUGUAACCAAGAAGAAGUAAGAGAGCAAACCAAGAGAGAGCUAAGUAAGAGAGUGAGAAGCCUUGUAAGUGAGUAGUCUUGUAAAGAGUGUGAGUGGUCUAGAGUUUGUCUCUAGAAGUGAGAGAGUGUCAUACGUUCUAAAUUGUGUCCUUGAUAGUUGUUGUGUUGUAAUAUUCUGUGAGUUAAUACAAGUAAUUUGUUUACUUGUUUUGUCUCUCCAACACUUGUGUUAGAGCUGUGUAUUCUAGUUUUUCCUCAACAUAUCACUUAGGUGGUUAUCCAUAUGGACCAUGUUGUGACAGUUUCAAUAGCUGCGUGUACUCUUUCUUUGCUGUCUUUGGAAUAUUUAGCCUGUAUAGCUGAAUUACGAAGUGUGACUGAAUUGGUGAUUCAGUAAUUACAUGUAUAUGUGGAAAAAAAAUUACUUUUCGUAGGUUGAAGCAAAGAAGCAAACAUUUUCAUCCUUCCAAGAUUUGCUGGCUACCUCUGAAAAACCUGUGUUGGUUGACUUCUAUGCAACCUGGUAAGCUUUUCUUGUGUAUCUCACUUCUUAUUUUGUUUGCAAUUUGUCAUUAUUGUUGUAUUGUCAGCUAAACUUUAAUUCCUAAACAAGGUGGUAGCUAUUCACCUUUUAGGUUUUCCCUCUCUAUAUAAAGGUAAGAAUAGACAAUUAAGUAAUAAACUCUGGUUGACAGGUGUGGACCUUGUCAAUUUAUGGCACCCAUCCUCAAUGAAGUCAGUAUUACGCUGAAUGACAAGAUCCAGGUUGUGAAAAUUGACACAGAGAAGUAUCCUAGCAUUGCUGAUAAAUAUAACAUACAAGCAUUGCCUACUUUCAUCAUAUUUAAGGAUGGAGAGCCAUUUGACCGCUUUGUAAGUUGAAUUUGUUCUCUUUUUUCCUUUGGGAGAUUAAUAUGUUUGCCUUUGGUAGACGAUCAAAUGUCUAGAAAUGUGUAAUCUGUCACAUAACAUCUCAUACUGAUUGCAUGCUUUUUAUACGGCCAGAAUAUGGACGGGUAUUGUCAAGUUGUUACGAUUUGCUGUUAAUUCCACUUUUUAGAUUUUGUAAGAUAUCCUAUGCACUUGCAUUGGUUUACAAUUUCGUCAGGUGUGUUGCUUUGCAUGCUUUUCUUCUUCUUUUGCUUAGUUUUGAUUCGAAGAUGUUGAAUUUUAAGGAUUUAUGUUCUCUUAGAUCCAAAAUAUUAAAUAGAAUAAAUAAUGUAUGUUCUCCGUGCAUGUAUGCAAGGCACUGUUAGAUUAGUUUUGGCGGUUUUUCUUUUUGGUUUUUUGGUCGAUUUUAAAUAUCUAUGAUGACUUUGCUUUCAUUACUUGCAGGAGGGUGCUAUGACUGCUGAUCAGCUUGUCGAACGAAUAGAAACUACUUUGAAAGUUAAGUAGGAGACAGGUGAGCUCUAUAAUAUUCGUGAGUUGAGAGCACUCGUAUCGUCCGCUGUUCUUUCUCUGCUUCCUCCUCCCCAUUUCCUAACCUUUCCUUUUUCUUCACUCUUCAUUUAUUGGUCCAGCUUCUCAGGUUGAACCGAGAAGCUGAUCGAUUCAGCCGCAUUGCAAGAAAAAUGGAUUUUAUGAAGAAAGGCACUGGAUGUUUCCUCUGCUUUUUUAUUUUUUGUAUGUAACUGGUUUGUACCAACAAAAAAGUUACGAGACUUGGCGUAAUCGCACGGGUAAAGCUUAGUGAAAACAAUUUUACGAUGUCAGUUUCUGUUGUGAUAUACACAUCCACAUCAGUUGCAUUUGAUUGAAAUUCAUGAUUUGGAAAAGUUAAUGAAAUUUUGUGGACAUUCAUUUCAUUUGCAAUGCAACUUAGACCUUAUUGGCAAUUGGUUUGUGGACACAAGAUUUACUACUUAAUUUGGAUACCUUGUCAAAUUAGAGUCAAUAAUUAACAAUGGCAUAUCUAGUAAGAAGUUAUUUCUGCAUGCCUCCCUUCCCAUUUCCUACGGCUGUUUAGCUUGCAAGCACACAAAUCAUUUGUAAUAAAGAUAUGCAAAUACGAGAUCAAAUUCAUCGAGAUUGAAUGAACAAUAAUUUGGUAUCUUAUGUUUAGCUGCGGACAUGACUGACCUCAGGAGGUCUCAAUGGAAAAAAUUUCAGAAAAAAUGUAGACAAAAGUAACAUUGAGGAAUUAAAUGAUAAUUCUUUUCAUUCGUAAAUAAUAGUGUAAACAAUGUUAUUACAAUCUACAAAGUCCAAAAUUAUCAUCGACGAGUUUUCAUAUUUUGAAAAUGUUUAUGAUAGUUUCAUACUCAACGAUCAAUCCACAACUCUAAUAACUGAAAUUUGAGAAUAAUGAGUACAAAUAGUGAACUUGAUACACUAGGAAGCUUAAGGAGGUCCCAGAAAGUCCAUAUUCGGGGCCUUCAUGCAUGGACUCGAGUGUUUCUUAAUCAUCUAAUCAGAAGCCGAUUGUUUAUACCAGUCAAUCGACGUCCCAGAAAGUCCGCUCUUCUGCUUCGACGUUGCUGAACCCGCUCUACCAUGGAGACGGCUCCCUCCUCGUCUUCCUACCCAUGGCACGGGUUUAGUCCUCCUUGAUGGUCAGCUAAUGUUCACCUAAGCUUUCGCACUUAGUAAACAAGCCUUCACUAGUUGCCUGGAACAUAACUACUAUUACUAUGAUGAUUAUUACGCCGACCACCACGGCGUUUAUAAUGCUUCUGGUUCUAAUUGGGGUGUAGUAGCCUGUCAACUGUCCAGUACCGAUUCCGAUGACUUCGGAACUUGGAUUAAGCCCAUCCAAAUUCUGGAGCCAAGGUUGCCGAGUGAAUUUUGGGGGCGAUGCACACUUAUAGCUUUGCUCAUCUAGGAGGUUCAAAAGUAUGCUUUGUUCUUUCCAAUCCCAUCUCGCACCCAAAAAAAAUUUGUCUUUGGAAGGUGCGUCUUCUUGUUCAAACUUUUGAGUUUUCCUUCUCCAAACAAAGUACCACCCUCACUAGUGCUGCUUUAUUUUAUUGUUUUUUAUUUUUUGUUUUUUUUGGAAAACCUUAAUGGUAUAAGGGUAAUUUUAUUGAUAACAAAAAAAUAAGUUACACCUAGACAGAAGGGGACAUAAACCUUACCCCUCAUAAAACAGAGACAAUAAAUAGGAAUACACGAAAAAGAAGGGGGAACAUAAACCUUACCCUUCUAGAAAUAAAAAACGAGAAUGAUACAAAGAAAAGAGGGGGGGGACAUGAAACAUAAUCCCUCUAAAACCAAACCUAAAGGUCUAAACUUGCAAAACAAGUCAAACAACCCCAUAAAGUUAGGAGAAAAAAAAAAGUGAGACAAACCUGGAUGCCGACAUGCACAUUAAUUUGAGAAGCAAUAACCAGGCAAGCCAACAUAGUCUGAAAACAAAGCAGCACAAACCGCCAUCGGAGGAGAAUCAUGCCAAGUUAAAGAUGGAGAAGACAAUCCCAUGUUAGCAAAAUUGUCUGCAACAAGAUUUACUUCACGAUGUACAUGAGAUACAUAGAAAGUCAUUUUCCGAAUACGAUCUAAACAAAUAGACCAUUGCGUAUGAAGAGGCCAAGGAGGAUCAAAAUUAGACGAUUGAAGAGCAUAAAUAACACUAGAACUAUUACUUUCAAACCAAAGACAAUGCCAACCCUAUUGAUAUGCAAACUCAAUACUAAUAAUAAUUGCUAAUAACUCUGCAAAAAAAAAAAAAAAAGUUGCGAUGACCAAUGCAUUGACAGAAACCUCCAAGAAAACAACCAUGACAAUUCCUGAAAAAUCCUCCACAUGUAGCAGGAUCAGAAUUUCCUUUAGACAAACCAUCUGUAUUAAGCUUAAACCAAGGAAACCAAAGGACAGGAAGAAUAGUAGGUGCCUUGCGAGGGAUAGGUUGGAUCCCCAAAGAAGAAAUGAUCCGAGUGUCAAAACCUUGAGAAUAACCAGAAAUAAACUUCCCACCAUGAACAAUCGCCGAAUUGAUAGAAAUGCAAAAGACGAUGAAAAUAGAUUGGACGACCCUAAAAAAUAAAUUUAUUUUGAGCCUUCUAAAUAGCUGAAAUAGUAGAAAGACCCGCAAAAAUCCAUAGAUUGUGCAACUGUUUGGAAAAUGGCUUACAGACAUAGACAUCCCAAAAAACAACCAAAGAAUCUGAAAGAGGCAAAAAUGUACCAAAUUAACAUACUAACCACCUCCAAAGUUGCCUAGAUAUCUGACAUCCAAUGCUGCCGAUGAUGGUGAUGAUUAUAAUUAUAAUGAUGGAGGCUGCGAUUCAAAAAGAUCAUUCGAUUUCUCCUCUUUCAAAGCCGACAUCCUCUCCACUCGCAACUUUGAAUACGAUUGGUGCGGAGAAUCUUUUGAGACUGCUCACGCAGCCGUGCUUGGUUGCUUUGCCCUGUAAGUUUCGUCGGUAAGGUUAACUUUCCAAUUCUAUCCCAUUUUCUGUAUUUGCUUUCUCCUGCGUGCGGCCUUAACUUGUAACUGUACUACGUAGGAAAGCAUUAGUCAAUGUAUUUCCUGUGCACACACUAUCACUUGAGGAACAAGUUCGACUGCAUUGUUUGCGAUUUAAGUCAAUCUAGACCCUGCAUUGCAACUCGCAUUGGGUCUUACUGGAACUACUUACAGCGAGCAUGCAAAACCCCCUGCGUGUUGAUUGAGGUUCUGAGGGGGAACACUCCAUCAAGCACGUUGAAGAUAUGGUCUGUAGCAGCAUUGCUUGGAAAUUGGAAAUUGGAGAUCUGCCUAGCUAGCUACUAUUUCUGUGUCUAGCUCCUCAUGUAGUUUUCUGUUAGGUAAUUUUUUUUUUUUUUUAAAUGGAAGAACAGGCAUUUUAUUAAAUAAAAAAAAAUAUUUAGUCAUAUUUUUAGGCUUAUUAUAUUUAUACCCUACAUAUUGUUGAAUAAACCUUAUAUACUUAAUACACCUCAUAUUUACUUUUUCAAUUAAAAUUUAUCUUAAUACACCCCAUUUACUUUCCCAUAUUACCCUCCCACCCCCAUUCUCAACAUACACCUUACAUUUUCUAUAUACACCCCAAAUUUUUUAUAACUCAGUCACAAUCAAGAUUGGAGGAAGAUAAGGCUGCUGAGACUUUGUUGAAGGUGGCAGACGAGGUUAUACGCUGAGGUUUAAUGACAAAAAUUCGAGGGUAAAAGCAGCAAGGGAAAGGAGAACAAUUAGAGGGUCUCUUGUAAUGUGAAUGGCACUAGGACUUUGCCCAGAUUGGCAAAAACGUAGCUGAAUGUUGAUGUAGUUUUAUUGCAUUUUCAGAUGUAUGAAAAAAAAAAACAUAUUUAUUUAUUGGUGUUGAAUUGCAGAACAAAGAUUGUGUUUAGCCAUUUUAUUACUAUUAUCAUUUCUUUAAAUUGGGGUUAUGCCGUGAGAUGAUAUACAUAAGGAAAUAUUGUUAAUUUCUUCGCACUCCAUUCAAGUUCUAACCUUGUAGUUUCAUCAUUUUGCUUGCCUUUGCUGGGAAGACAAAAAAAAUAGAUAAAUAAUACGUUAAAAGUGAUUUGAGGUUUAUUCAGAAUUUUUUUAUAUUUUUAAAAAACUAAUAAGGUCAAAAUUGACAUUGUAUAGAGUGUAUAAGUUAUUUAAUAUCGAAUUUGAAUGUGAGGUGUAUUUAUCAGUACGGAUGUGUACAUCUUUUAUUGGCACGGAAGUACUUAUCGAUUAUGCAUUGAAUUUUUUAGUAAUUUAAUUCAAAAUGUGAAGUAGCUUUUGUAAAGUUACCGAAAGCGCCGUGACGGAGAUGAAGAUGGAAAUGGUGUAAAACUUUUGACGAGUUGAACCGAAAGCGCCGUGACGGAGAUGGAGGUGGAGAUGGAGAUGAGGGCCGGGGAAGAAAUAGAGAUAGGACAAGACAUAACGCCACCGCUCCCUCCGCUUUCUUCCUCUCUCCACCACUCCCUCCUCUCAUCUCACUGCUCUUCCUGCUUCUCCCCUCUCCCUCCCCAACCCUUCCCUCCCCUCUUUACUCCUACCUUUCCCAACACUCCCUCCUCCUACUACUGCUCCUCCCUCUGCUCCUCCGCCGAUUCUCCCCUCCACGUCUCCAGCGCCGAGCCCUACCUUCUCCUGCUUCUCCAAUCCCACCCCUCCGCCUACCCCAACGGCGACUCCUCCGACCUCCGCGCCGCCCUCCGCCUCCUCCAAUCCCUUCCCGCCACCUCCCCCUACCCUCGCGUAGCCGGCCUCCUGACGAAUCGCCACAAACUCCUCCACCACCACGACCAUAGGGUUCGCGACGGCGCCAGAGCCAUGUUCCUCGCCAGGAAGAUGCGGGAUGAAUCUCCGAAUUUCUCUAUCGAUGCGACUAUUGCCAACGUUGCUCCGCACGACGCCGUAUUGGAGGAGGCCGUGCUGUCAUUGGUGCUAACGAACGCCGUGGAGGUGCAGGAUAAGACCGGGCGCACCCUUGGAAUUUCCGUCUACGGUCCCAGCUUCUGCUGGAUCAACCACAGCUGCUCCCCGAAUGCUUGCUACCGCUUUUCUUUGAUGACACCGCCAACGCCACCUUGUUGGCCCGAAACGGCGCUGCUGCGCAUUGUCCCCUUCGGCCGCUCCUCCGGUCGUGCCACACAAGUAAUCCCUGCAAAUUUGCACCGUUUGUUUAAUUUAUAGUGGAAUAAGAUUGAAAUUCAGGGUUGUGAGAUGGAUAUUUGUUGCAGAUUGAGAAUGGUGUUUGUAGCAAUAAUGUGUUAGCAAAAGGUGUUGUGGUUUUUUUAAGUUUUCGUGCUUCUUUUCGGUUUUUGUUUGUUUGAAUUAGUACACCAAAUUUACCAGUAUUAUUGAACCAUUCGUGUAUAUUACGAAUGUAGAAAGCCGAGGUUAUGGUCCAAGAGUGACGGUUAGGAGCAUCAAGAGAAUCAAGAAAGGCGAAGAAGUGACUGUUACUUACACUGAUUUGUUGCAGCCUAAGGUAUCUGCAUUUUAUCUAUAUACACAUUAUACAUGGAUCAGCGAUUGGAAUUUUGAAUUCAUAUAAUCCACAUCUGUUUUGUCAAGUUAACUGAGCGAUGUUUCGAUGACUGUGAGAUGAGAAUUUGCUAGUGUCAUUUUCUGCUUAUUGUCCCUGUCUUAGGAAACUAAACUUGAUGAGACAAUGCAAGGCAAUCCGACUUCUUUCCACUUUAGGGAUUAGCUAAAUCUUGCCCCAUUUGACUUUUCUUUUACUUAUUUCCAAUUUUAAUUGUGUUGAUGUUAUAUUUUAAUCCCUUUCUUUUAACGUCACAUUUUCUUUUCUUCUCAUGAGCUCCUCCAGGCAAUGAGGCAGUCAGAGCUAUGGUCAAGGUAUCGGUUUAUCUGCUCUUGUACGCGAUGUAGUGCAUCACCCCUAACCUACGUGGAUCAAGCUUUGGAGGUGGCAAUUCAUGAAAACUUUUUCUUUCUUUCUUGAUAUUCUCAAUUAAAUACUAAUUCUUAAGUCUAUUUGGAGUUCUUCCGUAAUAUCUUUAUACUAUUGAUUUUACAGAAAUUAUAAAUGCACUAGGAUAUUUGUACUUCUAGAUUCUUGUUUUUGUAUCCCCCCCUGUAUAUAGUUUGGCCUUCACUUUGAACAAAAGCUCUUUUUCAACUUGAACAUGAAUUACCUCCUAACCAUUUUUCUUCCUCUCUGGCAGUCAACUUUAUUUCCUAGGAUGUAGCUAAUGUUCUUAUUGGUGUUUUUUGAAUAAUCAUUAACCUUCGGUUUCAAAACUCCAGGAAAUAUUUGCAGUCAAUUCCAACUCCUCCAGUUUGAGUUUAGAAAUAAACUUCAAUAGAGAUAAGGCAACGCAAUUGUUGAGUGUUUACUUUGAUGAUGCUAUUGACGACUACCUGUCGAGUGGCGAUCCUGAAUCUUCUUGUGAGAGGCUUGAGCAUGCGUUCACACAAGGACUCUCUGAUAUGCAAUUAGAUUGCAACGGAGAAACAUCUCAGCUGAGAUACUGGUUGCACCCAUUAAAUUACCUCUCCCUAAAUGCCUACACAACAUUGGCUUCAGCGUAUAAAAUCCGUGCAACUGACAUGAUAGCUUUAUGUUCUAAAAUGGAUGAUCAUCUGUUAAAAGCUUUGAACUUAAGCAGGACUAGUGCAGCAUACUCCUUACUACUUGCUGGUGCAACUCACCAUCUGUUCCGCUCUGAAUCGUCUCUAAUUGUAUCUGUUGCAAAUUUCUGGACAAGCGCAGGGGAGUCAUUGUUAACUCUUGCUAAAAGCUCAGUCUGGAGUGAGUUUGUCCACCGGGAUCUGCCUGUGUCAAAUCCAUGUUCCACUGCAAGUUAUAGAUGUCCAAAAUGCUCAUUGAUAGACAAAUUUGAAGCUUGUUUAUUCUAUGGUCAAGUUCAACAUGCAGAUUUUGACGAUGUCUCAAGUGAAUUCAUUGAUUGCGUCUCUAACUUUACACAGAAUGUUUGGAAUAUUUUGGCUCUCAGUUGCCAGUACCUUAGAUUGAUUAAGAGUCCUAUUGAUUUCAGUUGGCUUGGUACCACAAAAGAUUCCAGUGUAGGGGAAGUUCUGAUUCGGUCUAGUGGCACUAAAGCGGGUUCUUGUGGGACUGAGAGAAGCAUUUCUGGAAGUGAAGCAGAGGGAUACACAGCCCAGGUACGGAUAUGUAUUUUUAAGCUCGGUGUCCAUUGCUUACUAUAUGGAGGAUAUCUAGCGAGCAUAUGUUAUGGUAAUUCCCAUUUGACCUGUUAUGUUCGUAAUAUUUUAGAUAUGGAAGGGAUAUUAUUGAAUCCUUGUCAUGAACCAAAUUGAGUUUGAGAUCUUAGAAGUUAAAUUAUUCCUGUUUUGGUGUUAAUUGCUGUGUUAUUAUACUCGUUAAGAAUCUGUUAAAAAUGUUGGUUGCAUAUAUCGUCUUCUCUGCUUGUGAUUUUUCGCCUCGAACUCUAUUCGUCUUGCAUGAUGCCCCAAGGAAUCAGCCACACGUAUCAGAAGUUUGUGUCAACGGAUUCAAUUUGAUAGACUACAGUGGGUUUCAAAAUAGAAUAAUCCGCUAUAGCUGUUUCAUAUAUCAUUUCGGUUCAGUCAAAUUAAAGAACCAAAAUUGAAAUCACAAUUGGAUUCGAUUUGGAAACAUCUGAAAUACAAAAUUGAAACCACAAUCGAAUUAAAGAACAAAAAUUGUCAUCUCCUGAUGCAUCCCUGUUUCUAUUUGUGUUCGUGUUUGUGUCAAAAAUACAUCGUAAGAAUGUUAUAACAGUUGCAUACUUAAAGCGACGCCCUACUGAAUGUUACAAUAGAUGCAUACAAGACCGUCGCUAAUGUCAAUGUUUCUUCUUUUUGUUGGACUUUGAGUUGGAGCCAUGCUCAUUUUUAUGUCGCUUUUCCCCACUCUUGUGACUCUCUCUCUGUUUUCCUUUAUCCAUUUUGUUUCUACUUGAUUUCACGCUAACGAGACCACCAGCAGGUAGGUUUGCACCGCCAUUCUGUAAUGCAUUCUCAAAGUCUGCAUCUCUGUCCCCAAUCGCGUACUGUUGAAGCAACUUGGGAUCUAAUGACCCCUCCGAGUUGGAUCUCAUCCCAUCCUGUAUGUGCGUAGUCAAGUCAGCCCAACUCUUGGGAUUCAGAACGCGGGAAAGAGAGGCAGUUCAGGUAACACGAAGGUAAGGAAGGAAUAAAGCGUACCUCAACUUUUCUUGCAGCAUCAUUGAGAUCAUCAUCAACAGAGAUCUUGUGAGGUUCCAAGAGAGUCUGAACCAAAAUUUCCGAAUCAGAGUGGAGUUACAACAUAGGCAGAAGAAAAGCACAGUAGCAUACAUACACGCACGCACGCACAAUUAUAAUGUGAUAGACGAUGUUUAAGCUUGCAUUAAGAAACACAAUAAUGUAAACUUAGCGAUUACAUAUCAAACAAAAUAGUUCAGGUACCAAAGUGGCUCACGCGCAACACACAUGUCAAUAUCAUAUAGUUAAGCCAACUAGAAUCAUAAUGCAUCCUACGACAUGAAAUUAUUAGAAAGAGAUGGAAACCACCAACAUAUCAUGUACUUUCCAUAAGAAAAAAAAGGGUUACUGCUUUGCUGAACUUACUUCUUUUGGUUUAGGCAAGGUUGACACAAGGCCCUCAGAUGCAAUAGCGUAUAGAUAUUUGUGAAACUUUUUCAUAACUUUUAUAAACAGAGACAAUAUUUGCUGCCUUUCCAGUUUCAUCAACCCCUGGAAAACGUGAAUGUAAGUAAAAAUCUACACCUGAUAAGAAUGAAAUAAAGAGCAGAAAUGACGCCACCAAGUAGAGUGUUUUGUCUUUGCAAGUGGGUUUGAUUGCGUGCUCGCAUUGCAUCUAUGUGACUGGUAUAGCCAAGCAAACCAUAUGAGUAACAAGUAGAGAAACAAACCUCAAUAUAGGAGAUAUCUUGAUUCUGUAAGCCAAUGCAGAGCAAUAUGGAAGCCUGGGCACCUGUCAAUGUCACUGGAAGUUUCUCUUGGAAAUACAGAUGUGAAAGCGUUGGAACAAGAUCCAAAAUCUGUAAAAUAAAAGCAUAACUUUAACAUGUGUAAAGUUAUAAACAAACGAUAACUAGAGUACAAGAGGACCUCAGUUUAGAAAAUGACACUUAAUUUCAAAUUCAAAUGGACCCCAGGGUUUAAACUGUAAUUUUAAAAACAAUUCGCAGGUAAUUUGAAGAAAGUAAGGUCUGUUGGUUAAGGAUGAAAAUGCAAUAAGCCCUCGGAUCCCUCCUCCCCACUAUCAUCUAUGCCUAACAGGAGGAAGAACAUCUUGACACAUUCAAACUGGCAGCCUUUCCCAAAAAACAGAAGGAAGCAGAUAAUCCACUCAAACCAUAAUCAACAAAAAUGGACGACAUGCCAUUGACCAGGAUGCACUGCACCUUCCUGAGAACCGCACAACAAAUGGGUUCACCUCCCUCAGGGGCAUACCCACAAGGGGGUGGGAUUGGGUGGGAGGGGAAGAGAAGGGGUCUAAUAGCCUAAUCGCUGUUGAUUUCAUCUUUUUAUGUAACACAGAGCACGGGAUGAAACAUCGGCCACAGAAUCCUACACACAAAUUACUUGUAAAGUACACAAAUUCCCCUUCUCAAACAAGCAAUUUUGAACUUUUAAUGUGUAACUGAACAUAUAUAUACAUAUAAUUAGAUCAAUAACUAAACACAAUGUCCUAAUAGUUCACUUUUGAAAAAGAUUAUUCAUAAAACAUUGCAAGAGUAAUAUAUGUUCACAAUCAUGGUAUCAGAUUGUCCACAGUAAGAAAACAAAUAUUUCACCACUGUCAACUAAAAAUUGUAUCACAAUCACAAUCAUAUUGCCACACUGAGACGAUAAUUCUAUCACAAAGGAAUACAAUUUUUCUUUUGUAAUGCAAUAUUACUUUCUUUUUCUAAAGGAAAGCAUAUUUUGUCUUGUAACGCAAAUAUCUUUUUUGAUUCUAAGGGAAGUAUUUCUUGUUCUGUAAUGCAAACAUUACUUCUAUUUUUAAUAUGAAUGUAUGGAAUCAAUUAGUAAUCCUAAGAUAAAAAAAUCCCAAAACACUACAUAGCACUAUGACAGGGCAAGUUGGCAAUCAACCAUUGUUCAGAGAACUUACCAUAUGAAAGUCAGCAAGACUGCUGGUGUAGGCCUCCAGUCGCUUCAUAUCAUAAGGCGAAAGUAAGUCUGUGAUAGACCGUAAGAAUCCAUCUGUGGUAGACGAUUUGGGUUCUCCAUCCUUGUAAUUGAUCUUAGGAUCUAAGAUGCUGGAAAAUUAUUAGUUAGUACGAGCACUUGAACAAUAAGCAUUUAUCAGAAUGGAACUUUUAAUAGUACCUCAUAGCGAGCCUAUAAUCCAUUGUACGAAAACUAUAACCCAAUAGUCUCAAAAAUCUUCUCCUGAAAUCUAGGUAGCCAACAAAUAAUCAAGCUGUGAACUGAAAUACAAAAAAUCUGCACAAAUUUAAAUAGAACAAAGGUUUUCCAAAGAAAAAUGGGCCCACCUAGGUUGAAUGGACGAAAAUCACUGGUUUCAAGUUCAUCAUUCUUCAAAGAUUUGAGGACCAUACACGUAUGCUCCCCGGUCACACCACUCUAUUACAUUGAAAAGAAAAAUGAAAAAUUAUUGUUUAAUCAGUCAUUCAUUCACAAAUGAUAAUAUUCAAAAAAACAGUAAACGGAAAAAAGGAUUCAGUAUGGAGAGGGGAAUCCAUCUUAACUGGAAUAUGUCCAAUAUAGAAUGGAGCAAACUUAUGUUUCCACCAAAACCUGAAAAGGUCCAAGGUAAGCCCAAAGGAGACACCAAUAUAAUGGAGCUUCUCUGGUCGCCUUUCACGAAGAUGAACAAGCAAAUGAGGAAGAUCUGUUCUAGGUUUUAUACUUUCUUCCAGCAAUGAAACCUAUAAAUAAAAUAGACAUAGGUAUCAUUCCGAUAAACAAUAUCAAGGCACAGGCGGCAGGUUGAUUAAUACCAAACAAACAAACCAAUACAUGAUAAUAUACUUUGAUGUCAUUAUGAUUAAAAUUAACACAACAAAUGAUCAUUCACAAAAGUUUGUCAAAUUAUAUUCAAACACAGAAAUUGUUCUACAAUCACCGGAAUGAAGCUUAACCAACUCAAACACUUCGACAGAACAAGAAUUGCAUUACCAGAAACCUAUGAGUUACAAAAUUGCCUCCAAUUGCAAUAAUAAUACAUAGAAUAGUCUCGUAUAAGCAGUUCUCCAACCUAUUAAUUAAAAAUAUUUAUAAAAAAAAAAAAACUAAGCUUGGUGAUUGUAGUUCACCUUCUCAGCAGCUUCUGUGACUCUGAGUGGGGGAGUCUCAACAUCUUCAACGUCCAGUUCAGAAAUAGGAGCAAACUGUCCUUCGUAGUACCUGAGGAGAAAUAAACCCUUAACACCCAUUUUUUCAAAUAUAAAAACAUAAAUGUGAAGCAUCAACUUUUAGAACCAAAGAGAUUCAGUGCAAUUUUCAUGUCAAAACACUUUUAUCUCAAUAAUGAAGUACUUAUGAGUUACAUUGAUACAAGAGCAAUGCAUCCCACAUAUCACACACAUUCCUUAUAUCUGGAUCCCCAACAAUAGCAAUCCAAUGUCACCCACAUAGCACAUGAUACAUACCAGAGGUGUCCCUAGAAUGUCCACAUCAGCCAUUCCUUAUAUCUGUGUCCCCAAAAACAUUUGCAGUAAAAAGUACAUGGACUUAUGAGCACAAAGGGAUAACGGACAUGUAUGGGUUGACUUGAGAGAUAAACCAAGUAAAGUAAGUUCAAGAAAAAAUCUAGGACCAAAUAGGAUACAAGGUCAGAAUCAGUGUGACCCAUCUAAAAAGUUAGGACCCCACAUUAAUUUGUGCAGUCAACAACGAGGAUCCAUCUUUGGAUUAUUAUCCUAAAACGCUCUAUCUUUGGAUUAUAUCCUAAAGUGCUGCUGGUUAAGCUUGUUUCUGGUUUUUCUCUGUUGGAAAUUUCAAUUACUAACGAAAUAUCCAAUCUUCAUUUAAACAUACAGAUUUAAACUCAACUGUUGGCACUGCAGACUCUUGGCCAUUGUUGGGAUUGAAAUAAGCUAGAGUUUCUCAAGAUAAAUGCGGAUGAGGUGGGUUUUAUUUGAGAUAGCGAAUUCCAUGUGUUUGUGGAUUUAUUGCCAAAGCAAUUUGGGAAGAUCCCUGCUGUUUCCUCCAGAUGGAUGGGGUUAUAAUUUCAUUGUAACUUUUCUGAAGUAAGUUUUAGUUGGACUCCUUUUCUUUGCAAUGGACAACUUCUCCUCCUUUCCUUUAGAAAAUGCUUUGCUUUGCUGAAUUUUUCGUAACUCUUAGAAAUGUAACCCAAACUAAGAUGAAAACCCCCAACAUGACCGUAUUUUAAUAUGCUAUCACUUCUAAUCCUCUAUAUCUUUCCACUUGUUUCUCCAACUACCAUCAUAUGACUCGAGAGUUGUAUUGUGAGAAAGUCAUCUGUAUAUCAAAACUGAAAUCAAAUGAUCAUCUCUUCAGCACCCACAUGGUCUAUGUUCUAUAGCUUUCAACCCAAGUGAACUGAAAGCAUGAGACUCACAUUUUGAGUUGCGACUUUAUGUGCCUGAGCCAGGGUGCAUAUGCAUGAUUGCUUUUCAUUCAUUUUAGAAAUCAUUUGAAGCAUUGCUUCAGACAUAUAAUCUUCAAUCUUUUCACCUUUUUUUUUAUGACAAACAGUAGCGUUAGUGGGUUAAAAGUUUAUUUGUUAGGGGGAGGGGAAUCGAUGGGCAUCAAACCCGCACCAGGGUGCAUAUGCAUGAUUGCUUUUCAUUCAAAGUGUAGCAAUAUGGGGCUAAAAGAAUCACUCAGUCAAUCUUUCUCAACACCUUAGGCAUCCACAUACACAUUGGGAUCAUGUAUGUGAUCUACAAAAACGUUUAGGUGGGGAAUAACUCAAAGAGGAGCAUACCUUGUCAAUAGUUCCACUGCUUGUGAUCCAUAUCCAAUCUACAACAACGAAAAAUAAAUUACCAUUUCAACAGAUCCCUGGUUAUAGAUUACCAUUUCAACAAAAUCCUGGUUAUACAUAUUGCUUUGGAAACCAUAAUGAGAGAAUACCUUCAUGGCACUUGGAUGUGUAGCAAUUCGUACAAUCCGAGCACCUGAAAGACUGGGAAAAACUGUGUCCUGAAAUUGCUCACAGAAUUUCCAUGGUAUCUGGUCACCAGAAGGCUGAUGACCAUCACUUAAACUUUUCAUUGCAGAUUCACGAGAGAUCUUUCCCUCAAGGCAGACCUAAGAACAAAAUGAUAGCACAUAAAAUGUUGAGCAUCAAAGAAUUAGUGUUUUAUAGAAGAUGAAGUACGUGUUUAAAGUGUUGUCCUUUAUUGCUAUUUCACAUAAGGUAAAAUUAUAAAUAAAAAAACUAAUAAAAUUUUGGGUAUGCGUUAAAUAACUAAAAGAAAUAAUAGUCCUGAACUAGGGGAAGACAGUCAAACCUGAAUGACACACAAAAUAUCAGGAAGCUGAUUUUUUGACUCAUCAACAGGGCCUGCACGUGCAAAUUAUAAUCAAGUCCAGCCAAAUAGCGGCAAAAAAAGAAAGACCAGUUCUAACGUAACAUAUAUACCAAGUAGCACAAACAGGUGGUGAGCCGGGGCAUCAGCCAUUAGUUGCAAAUCAUUUGGAGAAUUUUUGUAGUGGGAGGCAACAUAUAGAGCCAUCAUCCGCUGCAAGUAUUAGAAUAUGUAAGUUCACUAAUAUGAAAAUGAGAAUCACUAGUCUGACAUUACUUGAACAUGUAAUUACCUGUAAGAACAACUCGCUAUCUUUAUGAUAUGAAAAAAGCGUAUCACAGUUUACGUAGUACAGAUCGCACUCACUGGGUGCAGGUAACCUAGCCGCCAAGAGAGAGAGAAGAGAGAGAGAGAUCAUUAAUAAAGGUAAGGGUUAUAAUGGAGAUGGUUACAUCUUCCUCGGUUCUGACUGUCUAAGCAAAUGUUUUUACCCGUUAAGUUUAGGGAUAUAAUUUGUGAUAUCCAAGCAAAGUAAACCAUGAAGCCAGGAUUCAAUCGGAUCACCAGAAGCAUAUCUGAUAGAUUCUUUCAAUUCUAUCUUUUUGAAAAGACGACCUACAAUCAGGGACAUUUAUCAAUUCAGAAAAUUAUGUCCAAAUAUCACAAAAUAGUUUUUAAAAAAUUAUACAUUGCUCACUUGCAAGCGCCAACAGUUCAAGUAUUUCAGAAACAAUAAUGUUAAGAGAAAGCAGAAGAAACAUUGAAUUUUGAAAAUAAAUUCAAGUUUUGGGGGGAAAGGGGGAUUUUGAUCCAACCUAAUUCAAGAUGAGAAUACAAAACACGGCCAAUAAGGAAUAAGCAUACCAGAUGUAGGCCCCUUAGCAGACACUUGGCUUUGCUCUUCCAAUUGCUGUAGAAGUUUUAGGGACAAAGACCGACCAGUACCUUCAUAGCUUUCAGUGUAAAAUAAAUGUCCUUUAGUAUUUAAAUUGCACUUAGAUUUUUUUUUUUUUACCAAAAGUUGAAUUCAGAGUUGACUUAUAAAUAGAAAGACAUCAAGCAUGAGUCAAGGAAAAGUGGAAACAGCCCAUGAAAAGUGAAAGAUCUUUCAUUCCCCCCCGCGGCCGUAACAGAAAGUGAAAAAGUGAAGUGAAAUAUGUUUCAUGAGACUGUUAAAACCAAAAAAGAACACAUGAUAAGAAUACACGACAUGAAGGAAGAAGAACAUGGAUGAAUCUUACCCAUUAACAGUAGAUGAAAGGAAGACCAGAUAAGGACCAAGCAAAGACUUCACUACUGGUAGUGGAAUAGCAGCUGCUUCAUCAACAACCAACAGUUCAACUUGGGAAAGCUUUUCAUGCUCAUGUGGCCGUAUAUACUGCAAGUACAAGUAACAAAAGUAAAAAACAAAUAGCCCCAAAAGCAAUGAGCAGUACAAAGUUCUUUCUUUUAGGCUACAUGAGGUGUAAAGGUCUAGACCACCUCACAAUCUCACAGGCAUGUUGAGUGCCUCUAUACCAUACAUACUGGAUUAGUGCCAGGAAGACACAUUAGGUUGACCAAAAAGUUUGGCGUUUCAGGAACAUGCUUUUAGAAGCAAGCUUCAGUAAUCACAAACCAUCUAAAUUAUGUUCAAUAUGCUCACACCAAUAACAAAAAUGAUGCACUUGGGCAAAAGUACAAUAGAAUUUUUGGAGUAGUCAAACAAAGACAACCACUAAUCAUAUAUGAGGGCAUACGACAUUUGAUGGGCAAAAGGUGAACACACUCAUGGCUAUUGUGAUGCGGCUAUCCAAUAGAAGAAUAUUCUCUAUUACAACUUGGUUAUCAACUUUUCAUGAGUAACAAUUCCUCCAUGUAUUUGUAUUUUGGUAUCAACUGACUAAACAAAAUCUUUAUUGCUAUUUUUUUAUAGAAAACGAGAUUUUAUUAAACAGCUAAAAAACAAUACAACACUUAGUGGACUAGGAAGUCCACCAUCAAAACGAAACAGCCCUGACAUAUGCCUCAACAUUCACCUCCAUCAUUAUAAAACAGAUCUGCAACUAUCUCACUGCAACUCCCCAAUCCAACAAAAUUACAUAAAAUGAAAGAUCCCAAAACCUUGGAGAGAGAGAAGCCAUAAGAAUGCCCAAUUCUUUCCCAAGAAUUCUCUUGUAAAUCCCCACUCUAAUUUUCAAAGGUUGCAAACUUGAAAUUAACAUAGAAGGUAACUGGCUUCAGAGUCAACUAGGAUAAUACUGGGCAUAUAUGCAGAGAGUAGGCAUAGUAGCAACUUUCAGGGUAUGGAAUAAUACAAAAGGAAAGGGAAGACCACAGAAUUCUCUCAGUCAUCUUAACUUGAUUUGGUACUAAGAAUAAGUUAUGUAUACACUUCCCACUGGCCCAUCUGUACGUUAAUAUAGAAAUAGAUUAUAUCCUGGCAACAAGGAAGUGAAAUACUCCUAUUUUUAUAUCAAUAUUGGGCACAAAUUAAGAGUUCAUCAAUAUAAUUUUACCUCAAUUGUAACCAACUGUGCAUAUAAGUUUACCUGAAUUGUUUGUCUGUGCUGCUUGUAUAUAUUGAUCUGUACAGUUGCUUUCUUCAACAAAGGGUCACUACUUUUCUGUACAUCAUAAUCUAUAUGUUCCUGCAAACAUAGUUUACAACUGUAAGCUCAAUAACUAGUGCACUGUUCGAAGUACAUGAUUGAAAAAUGAAGAAAACGGAGUGACCUUAUAACAAUUAAUGAAAGAUAAAAUGUAGUUCACAGAAUAAAACAUUCAAACACCACCAUCUUGAUAGUUAAACAAUUUCACUGUAAAAGCUAUUAAACUUAGCAGGAAAAAAAAUUUAAACUUUAUCUAACAUUUGAAUCUACAAUUUUCAAUUAGCAACUCUUGUCACAAAUGUUUAUUAGUGGGGUACGUUCUAAGAUAUUGUUAUUUGCUAAUUGUCGAGGAUUAUUUGGGAGUUAAAUCUCACAAGAAGGCGUAAAGAUCACAUUAGAAUUAGAUAUUUUACUAGGAAGCUAAAGAUCACAUUAGAACCACCCGCAGGAAUACAAAAAAACGACAUACCUUAUAGUCCAGUUGAUCAAAACCCUUGCAAACAAAUUCGAACAAGGUUCUUAAGUUCUCAGGGCUGGGUGCAGUUACAAAUAUAUUUGAAUACCUGUGAAGAUAUAUUUGUAUCGUCAAAACAUAGUACAUGAAUAUGAGUGUAGACAGCUACACAUACACCAAAACAGUUUUAAUACAUUGUAAAAGGCAUACUACCCUGCAGCAAUAGCUCCGGAAAUUGCCAAACCAAGUGCAGCCGAUUUUCCACGGCCUCGAGCAGCAAGCAAGGCAACAGUACUUCGGAGUGUCUUGUCCAAGAUUGCAUCAAGAAAUGUAGCAACAGCAUUUCCCUGUUGAAACAUUUACCAACUCAAACUAUGAGUCAUAUUAGUAAAUCACACAUGAUAGAAAAACUCAAAACUAAUACAAAUCAGAGAGAGUGCCUACCUGGUCCAACGUACAACAUUUCUUUAUUAAAGGGCCAACAGGAAAGGCAUCACUCAGCUGCUCUUUUAGAUCCUUCAGUUCCCUUUGUGACUCUGAUAUCCCUUCAGAGUCCUUCAAUCAUGAUCAGAAAACAAGAAAAAAGUUAUCAAAGUUAUCAAAGCUUCACAAACUCCUAGAAAGUAUCCUAAUAACCAUUCGGUAUACACACACUUGAAAAAUUACUUUUAUUCUUUUUGUCAUCUCGCAUAAGAUGCCACGAAAAUAAAGCAUUCCUCGAUUUAUCAGUUCCGUCCUAUAGAAAAGUUACAAGGCUAAAAGGUUACCUCUUUCACUGGAACUGGGGUAAUUGACCUCAUAUGAGAUGAAAUUGGUAAAAUAUUCAGCUCAUCAUCCAUUACUACACAUGAUUUGCAUGACGCAAGUGACAAUAAGAAACGCUCGUUAAAACGUCCAGUAGCCUUAGAAUGGGAUUCAGUUCGAAACCUAUCAUGAACAUCCUGAAAUCAAGAGGCGCUGAUAAGACUGUAUGGAGAUUUUUGCAUUUGAGAGAACGAGAAAGACAGUGUUGCAAAUAAAACAUGACAUAACGGAAUUGUUAUCAAAUAUAAUAUGUGGUGCAUGGCUAUUGCUAUAUUCGUUCUAAGUCCAUAAUGUAGUAAAACUAGAAACUACCUCAACAAGAAGAACAAAUAUUAUGAGGAAACCUAGUUGUUUUUUCUUCUUCUUUUUGGGGCUAGAACAUGAAAAGAAACAACUAGUCUACAUAGGCCCAACUGGGAAACUUAUAUGUUCAGCAGCAUUCUCUUAAAGAAAGUCAAGCAAUUGAAUCUACCAAAAGUCUUCUUGUAGCCAAGCACAUCAUUACGAAAAAAUUCGGAAACUUUUAACAUGGCUAGUUUUCAAGAUUUUGCGGUAUAUAAUAAGCAUAACCAUGCUGGCCUAAAAACUAAGCAUUAAUUGUGUGCAUGCGUAAGAGAAAGAGGUAUUAUUAUAUGCAUACCAUAACCAUGGUGUAGAGGUUGGUGAGUGAGGUUAGAGAAUGAAGCAACAAUAUGACUAGUCCACCUCCCUCCACUGUCUCUAUCGUUCUUGCUAGUAGAUUUGGAGUCAAGGCCUCAAAAUCCUAAUGCAGGAGAUCAAACUUAGUCAUAAAACUUAAAUCAAUUAUACAAGGGGUCUUGGCCAAACCAGUAAAUUUGUAAGUUUCAAGUUACCUGAAGUAUACACAUUCCAAAGGUAUUACCAAGAACUCUUUCUGAAUCCUUGUACAAGCAAUAAGUCAAUCCCCCACUUUCAACAAAAAGUGAGAAAGGAUCAACCUUCUCGGGAUCAAGCAGCCCCCUCUGCAUCAUCUUUUUUACUUGCUUAGCACGUUUUUUCUUGUGACUGCAUCAUGAAGUAGUCAAACGCAACGAAUCAAUAUAUUUUAAAAACGAAAUUCCGCCUUGCCUUAUAAUAAGGUGAAGAAUGGAAGGUAGAAGAAAUCAACCUGCUGAGCUCGAGCUUGUCCUUGUAGCACCACAACACAGUCGGGCGCGAUUUCUUUACUUCAUUGCUUAGCAUAUAAUGAAGAUUCACAAUCUGAAGACCAUAUAAAACUCCAUAUUAGCCAUUUUCCGUUAGUUUUCGAUAGAUUUUCGAUGAUAUUUCUUACCUUGUUUGAGGUUUUUAGUGUUACUCGGUGAGUAUUGCAGGUGAAAACAAGAAACAGUAAAACUGGUAAAAUUUUCUACCCAAUUCAAUUUAAAUCAUUGUUAUAACUCCUCAAAUUGAAUAGGAAUAGCAAAUAGGGAAUGGGAUAGGAAAGGCAGAAGAAAUUAGGAGUACCUGGUCACGGGAUUUGUCGCCGACGAUGACGAACAUGGAGCGGUGCCGGUUUUUGACGCCAUUGCUUAUUAGGGUUCGGAUUCGUUCGUCCACCUUCUUCCUCAUUCUCUCUCUCUCUUCUCUCUCUGUGCAAUUAGGUUUAGGGUUUAUACCAUAGGGCAGUUGUCGUCGUCGGGCAGGGUUUAAGCCGAACUAGUGAGAGAGAGACUAGACAUCGCGGAGAGAUAUUGAGUUCAUCUCAACCGUUGAUUGGCUAUCUGAUGGCUGUUAUCAAAGCUGACAUAAAAAUGAAAACUCAACACGUGGCCAAGUAUUUUUUUUCUCUCUUUUUUGGCUUAUUUAUUGAUUUGCCCCAGAAAUUAUUUUUUUUGUCUUACUCUAGGUCAUGAAACAGAAUUUAUCUUACUUUAUCUUCUAAAACUACCAAAAUCGAGUCAUUUCACCCAUGUUUUGUCAAUUCUAUCUCAUAAACGUUAAAUAAAAGGGAGUCUAAACAUUUCAUACCAUGCUAGCAAAGAUGAGCCACUGUUGUUGGUGAGGUACGAAAUUUUCAAACUUUCCUAAACCUUUAAAACUUAAAAGGUAUCUUGAAUAUGAACGUAAAUGAGGUAAAGUUGCUCAAUUUUGGCAAUUUAUGAAGGGUAAAAUGAGACAAAUUCAAUUUAAGGCUAAAGUGAGAGUAAAUGGCAGUUUCAUGAGAUAUAUCAAUAAAUAAAUCUUUUCUAGAAUACAACUAAAUUAUGUACUCACGGUAAAAGAUAAAUUAAUAUCGAACUUGUCAUUGACGAUAUCUAAACAUAAAACCUUUCAAGUUUUUACCUAUAAGAAUAAAUUUGGUAUAGUAAUUUCUUUUCUAAUUUAAAGUUUCCCAUAGAGUUAUGACGAAUUUGAUACCAAAUUAGGCUGUCAUUGUGUGGCAUAGCCGAAUUCCUCCUCCCUUACUUUAAAAAUAACGAUGUACUCAAAAAAAGUUUCCCAUAGAGUUAAAAUGAUCUUUAGUUGCUUGCUGAGACAACCCAUAUGUAUAAUAAGACAUUGAAAAAGGUGCCUCUGUCAUUUACACUCACACGAUCGAAUAAGUAGCUCCGACAGUUGCAUCAUAAAAUUAAGGGGUUUUCCGAGAUUGUAGUAAGGUUGACGAUUAAAGUUUGGGAAAUUUUCAGGUUAAGGAAUCAAGGGAUCACAUUUUCAAGUUUCGUAGGCAUUCUCUUUCCUUUGGAAUGGUGUUGGAAUCCGUCCUGAAGUUGCCCAUUCCUUUGCUCUUGAUUUUCAGAGUUGGAUAGCUAUAAACCUUAGGACACAUUGUACCACCAUACAUGGUUUACCUUGGAACCUUAUCUUUAAUUCAACUCUCUGGCAUUGCUGGAAAUGGAGGAAUAACUUUGUCUUCAAUGAUGGCCAACAACCGCUUGACUCACCCCAGAAUUUCAUUUUUCAAUUUGCAAGGGAAUGGUGUGAUGCGAACAAGUGUUCUUCUAGUAAGCCUCCUAGACAAAAUCAUCUCAAUCCAUUGGAUUCGUUUGCCAAUUGGUAUACAAAAUCAAUACAGAUGGGAGUUGUAAAGACCCAUUUAGCCACAUAAGUGCUGGAGGUUUGCUUCGUAAUUCUGAAGGGAAAUGGAUUAAGGGAUUUGCUGCUAAUUUGGGCAGAGGAACCAUCAUGGAAGGUGAGCUUUAAGGGUGGUUUCAUGGGACUUUCUAUAGGUUGGGAUGAGAGUUGCAAGGAAGUGAUUAUUGAAUGUGAUUCUUAUGCUGCUGUUACUUUGAUCCAACAACCUAUUUUAGUUCCCACUCUACAAUCUCAUUAUUGACUGCAAAGAAGCCAUUGAAAGAAAUUGAAGAUGUGAAGUUACUCAUAUCUAUAGAGAAAAUAAUGUCUUAGCUAAUCACACGUCUGACUUAGGUCAUGGGUUAUCACUUGGUCUUCAUGUUUUUGCUUCUCCUUCUACCAUUGCUACUAAUUUUAUAGUUUCUAAUACUAUUGGCAGGGCCCUCCCUAGAGCUGUUUUUUAGUAGCUUUUUUGUUUUGCUUGUUGGGCUUUGCCCUCUUCUGUACCCAAAAAAAAAAAAAAAAAAAAAAAUAUUGGGAAAUUUAUUUGGACCCAACUUUUUUAUCUCUACACCCAAAUAAUAUUUUCUCUUAUCUAAUCUUCCAAAUUUGUCCUUAAAUAACAAACAUUGAAGUUUUCUUUGUAUCUCUACACCCAAACCCCACGAUCCACCACUGUAGGGCGCUCCAUUAUUUCCGACAAACCCAACUCAAACGCCAGCAACACUAAAAUCGACAAAUCAAGACUGGAGAACAAAUGGUGUAGGAGUCCUAAUGUGAAUAUUAAAGCAAACUUAAGUUGCAAAACCCUUUUUUAUUUCAAUCGAUGAAAGGACCUUGGGUUAUGAACAUAAGGAACCUAUUAGGGUUUAGAGGUCCCCUCCACAUCAUAUGCAUAAGCCCUUUUUCUUCAUUCAUUAAUUUACGGAAGGGAAAAUUAAUACUAUUAUUCUCAUAAAAAGUGGGAAUACCAAGGAAAGAGAUCCUCUCCACACCAUAUAUUUUUCUUUUCUGAGUAGUUAUAUCCAAUGGAGAGAGGAAAACAAGAGCACCAAUGGUCGCAGGUUCACCGGAGAAAAUGAAGGUGCAGUGGUGAUGUGAGUUUAGGGUUAUUGGGUGUAAAGAUAACAACUUUAAUAUUUAUUUUCUCAUUUUUAUUUAUUUAAGGGCAAAUUUGAAAGUUUAGUAGAGAAAAUUUGUUAGUUGGGUGUAGAGAUAAAAAGGUUGGGUCCAACAAAAUUUCUCAUAAAGUUUAAUCACGCGAUUAAGUUCUUGUGCAAUGAGUAAAUUGUAGCAAUGACCCAUCAACUAAAAAUCCAUUAUUAUUGAUCCCUCAACUCAUCAAAAUAUGUAGUUAUGGUCAUUUUCGUCAACUUUGUAAGAAUUUUGUCAAAAUAAAUUAUGUUGGAAGGACCAUUGUUACAAUUAAGGUCCUUCAACUCAUCAAAACAUGUAGCUAUGGUCAUUUUCGUCAACUUUGUCAAAAUGAGUUAUGUUGGCAUGACCAUUAUUGCAAUUGGGUUAAAGUUGAGGAAUCAUUGCUCCAAUUGGGUUAAAGUUGAGGGAUCAUUUCUCUAGUUAGAUUAAAGUUGGGGGACCAAUGAUAAUUAAGUUUUAGUUAAGGGAUCAUAGUUGCACGUUUUGAUGAGUUGAGAGAUCAAUGAUAAUGAAUUUUUAGUUAAUGGAUCAUUACUCCAAUUGAGUUAAAAAUAAAGGACCAUUGCUACAAUUUACUCUUGUGCAAUAGAAGAUUAAUUUGGCCGAACAACCUGAUUAAGGUGCCUACUUUCUCUUUAAUUCAUUGGUAUCAUUUAUUUUCCCUUAAGCUGAAUUAUGCUCAAUUUAUGUAUCAAUAUUGUAAAGUUGUCUUUGUUAGAGUAAUUUGGACAAUAUAAAUUGAAAAUUAUUUGUGUAUAUGGAAAAGAUUAACCUCAGGGGUCACUUCGCCGGACUCCGUAGCAAUCUCCACCACUCCAAUCGUAAUGGUGAGUAAAUCACUUGUGUUUGUUUCCAUUUUUUCAAUUGGAAAUUGGGGGUUUUGAAUUCAUAUUUUGUCAAUUGGUUUUGUGAGCACUGAGAAUACACUACGAGCUUGUGUGUGUGUACAAUAUGUUGGAUUUGAUCUUUAUAAAGAAUGCGAGAAAUUGGGGUUAGGAAAGAGAAGAAAAGGAAACAGAACUCGAACUUCGAUCUUCAUUCUUGUUACUAAAGGAGAAAACCGAAUUUGAACCGGUUCAUACGUAAUCGAACCGAAUUUGUAUAGUUCGGUUCACCCCUUAGUACCGAACCGUACCAUACCAAAAAAAAUUUCUUGAGUUUGGUUUUGAUACAUCCCUCAUACUGUACCAUACCAAAUCGUGGCCAGACCUACUGAAUACAAAACUUAUAUCUGGGUCGUAAGUCGUAAGGCCUCCAAAAAAAAAGUUCAUAUUAUUCAUACCAAUCGGACAAAUCCCGCACCCAAAAACAAUGGCUAGAUAGAAAGUUCAAUUAUAGAUUAGGUAAUCUAUCCUUUUCAACUUAAAUGCACAUUCAUGAUGGUUAUGCAAAUCAUAUUAUGUUAACAAAUGCAACAAUUAAUUAUAUUUAUCCAUUUGGAAUGAUAUAUAUUUUCAAAGAUGGAAUUACAGACCCCGUUGACGUUGAGGCCAUUGCAUGAGAGAAUUUUAGAUGAUUUUCAAUUAAUUUAUAUUAUUGUUGUGAUAACCAUAAUAAUUAUUUUCUAAAUGUAAAACUAUAUUAAUGAAAUUUUCUUUGUCGGUCAAAAGAAGAUGAAAAGAUAUCUUUAUCUUCUAUCACAACAAAAAAAUUAAGGAUAUUAAUGUAAUAGGCUAAUAGCGAUGGGGUGAAGAAAUGGAACUAUCCUAAAUAGGCAGUUGCUGGUUAUAUUGGAUCAGGUGGUCUGAAUGAUUGGAUAAUUAGCAAAUAAAAAGGUUCCAUUUUUCAUGGACCCUCAAGUGGAAAUAUGGGAUAAAAGAUGGCAUAUACCAUUUUAUCCAUUUGUGAUUGUACAUUUUGAUGGUUGUGAUUUCACCCGAUGGCGCGGCAAGUGUGGAUUGGGAUAAGGAUGGUUUUGGUCUAUCAUCAAAGAUGGUUUGAUGUUCACGACUGGAUUUUACAACGCAUCCAAGUGCAUGGGUUCUAUAAAUACAGAGUUGCGCACAAUAAAAAAGUACAAAGGACCUUCAAACCUUUCACACACUCUGAGAAACUCCUGAUUCUCCCAACUUCGUCAACACAUCUUCAAUUUGGAUUAACAUCACUGUUUGUCAGUGAGGAGUCCUUAGUCUUCUCGUCUCAUUAGCCCUCUAGGUGAAGUGAGGUGUUACUGAAUUACUUGAGUAUUCAGCACAUUGAAAGUCGAACCUUAUUUGAACUUCACAGUAGUUAGCAAUCUUAUCUUCAGGUUUUAGAACCCAAUGCCAAGACAUAUUCCUUCCUCGACAGUGAUGGUUUGUACACAAAAGUUGGUUUGUACACAUAAGUCAGUAUUGUGUUUGACACACCAUCCCAUUCAUUCUACUAGCCCACAAACGCGUGGACUCGUCCAAAAUUACCCCACUCUCGGCCCGUUCACUUGCCCACUCGUCCCACGCGGCCCGUGAGUCUUCAGUGCCUGAUAGGGGGGCCUACUGUUAGGGCCGUUGUUGGCCACAACCCAGAGCCCAACGAUUUUUUUUUGCAUCCCACGACUGGCAUUUUUGGACCGUUGGUUGAUCCAACGGUCCAGAUUCAAAUUUUGUUUUUUUAAAUGUUAUUUUAAAAUACAUUGAAUCCAACGGCUGAGAUCGAAUAUAAUCAAAUCUAACGGUAAAAUAAAAAAAGAUAAAAAAAGAUAUAACAGUCCAAAUUUAAAUCCAACAGCUAAAAUAAUUUUAAAAAAAAUUAUUUAACUCAAAAUUCACCCAAAAACUCUAUAAAUACCUUUGUAUUUGUUCAAACAUCCACACAAAACUCAAUUUUCUCCCACAAUUCUUCCAUUUUUUCUUUCUACCAUUUCUUUCCAUUUCCAAAUUGUUCAACACGAUCCUUGAAUUGGCCAUCCCAAGCAGUAAGACAAUUCUUCCACUCCCAAAGCAUACAAUCGAGACUUCCUAUCAUGUCAGGAAAGCCUAUUUUGUCUGCUUUGAGUAGAAUGUGACGACAUGUCCCGAAUUAUUAUAUAUUUUUCUCCCUAAGUGUGUAAAGUGACGGUAAUGCCCUCGUGAUUUAGUGACGUGGAUGUACAUAUGUAGUUUUAAAUUAUUAUUUCUAUUGUCGUAGUUAAAUUGUACUCGACGCCAUGAGUGUGUUGAUGUGACCUAGGGCUAAAACAAAUUCGUAACGAAGAAGUUACGAACAGACGAGUGUGUAAAUGCGUAGAAAUAUAUUUUUAUGGGUUGGCUAUACCUUACCCACCAAUCACCUUAAUUCCUGAUUUCUUUGGCCUAAUUGAAUUAAAAAUAUCUCUCAUUUUUCCUUCUGCCCAAUCACGCACAUACACACCAUCACUCUCUCUCUUCUCUCGGACCUUCUUCUUCUUUCUUCUCAUUCCGUACACCCGAGCCACCCUUACCUCACAAUCAUCAUCAAAACAUUAUGGAUCGAAUUGGAAAUCACUACCAUCGCAGUCACCUCGAUCCCACGAACUCAUUGAUACCCUUAGGUCGAGGAAUAGACGUCGGGAAUUCGAGAACUCGGGAGCUCUGGCGAGGUGUAUUUUUCUACUUUGUGAUCGUGGUCUUUUUCUAUGGUUUAAAGGCUUGAGGUGGGUCCUAAUCAACUUUAUAGGGACCCUAGAUUAGUUUUGGAGCAGUUUGAACGUUGGAAUAGGUGAGAACAUGGAGUUGCAGGUUGGCCGGUUGAUCCAAGCCUUACUCCGACCACUUUCUGUCGGUUUUAGAACCUCAAGUAGGUAAGAUUGUAUUCUUCUAGUUGAGAGUUUCAAAUCCAUAUAAAAUUCAUGGAAUUUGGUUGAAAAAUGAUGAAGAUAUUAAAGUUUUAAGAUUUUUCCAAAAAUCAGCGACACAAACGGCGCCCGACGGCCAGCGAUGGAUUCCGACAAAGCCAUCGGAGAAGGAGGAGAAUAUUAUGUCUAACUUUGACAGAAUAUACUAACAGCGUCAGGUAACUCUAUUAGUUUUUAAACAAAAUAUUCUACUAUUUAAUGAAAUAUUCCCUAACGCCGUUAGGGAUUCCGUGCCUGCACGUGCCGGCUUAUGAGGGCGCGUGAGACGUCAGGAAAUUAAUCUAAAAAUAUUGGGGUGUUCGAGUUGUUGAGUAGGUCAUGUUGGUAUAUUCAAACACCCUAUUUGAGCAACGUAUGAGAAGUUAUUCCUAGGGUUUGUGUAUGUGCCUUAAAAUUAAUGUAAAAUUAGUUAUUUCGCAUAUAGGUGAGACUUACCCGGAGGACAAACGUGGUCAAACGAGACUUGGGGGCUACGAUCCUACUACUUACCAGUGAGCGGGCUUUUUUUUUCUAUAUAUAUGUAAAUAUGCUUAUGAAUCCCAUAAACUACUUUAAAUGAACGUAUGUUUUAAAUGCCAUGUCGUGUGCAUUAUGUGUUAGUAUUGCAUUAGUAUAGCUAUGCAUAGUAUUGGAUGAGACUGCGCAGACUCAGGUAAGUUUCAGGUGAGUACAUCAUGAUGGUAUUGGGUGCGUGUGUGUGGUUAUACGUUGAUGCAUUUUGAGCUUAUUAUCCUGCACAUUGGUGUUAGUGUUCUCGCCCAUGGCCAGGGCAUAGUUUUUCACAUGAUGUUCACCUCCUGGGCCGCACGCUCACUUUGGAUCCAAGUUUGGUGCACAGCCAUAUUGCACAGACCACAAUAGGUGGUUCCGACUCGUAGGUGACCUGCAAUUAUUUGCACAGCCUUCACGUGAUCGUAGCACUUAAGCGUACUUAUCUACACCCAGCCCUGUUGUACAGACCACAAUAGGUGGUUCCGACUUAUGUGCAUGCAUACUUGAUGAGCUAUAGAUUCAAUUGUACAGGUUACAUUAGGUGACUCCGGUUGGCAUACUAUUUUAGGUUGAUUCGUAUCACCUGGCUUACACAUUUUAUGGUUGAACAUCUUGACAUGGCAUACCUCUGUUUUCACUGCUCUAAGCAUUAUCCUUAUGUACCUAGUUGUUAUUAUUUUCUGGAAAAUUAUAUGGGUUUACAGUGAGGGGUUAGUAUGUUCAUAAAGACAACUGUGUUUUCAAAAACUUUGUUUUUGCCUACUCACAUUUUUUGUUUUGCACCCUUUCAGGUUCUAGGUAGUUGGUCAUCCUUGGUGGCUCACGAGGACUUUCACGGCGGUUCUGACAUCUCUGUAAAUAAGUAGGGAUUUUUUUCCCUGUUUGUAUAAUUAGUACUUAGUUGGUUCGAUUGCACUUUCGUUUACCCAUGCUCUGAUAUUUGUAUAACUUGCUUGGUCAUCUUUACUCACUUAUAUUAUCUUAGUUUAGAUAAGUUUGGUUUUAGGUUUUUAUUUAUUCGCAUUUCUUUUAUUAUUACUUCUGUUGCGCAUUUUGGCUACGUUACUCUUACGUGACGGGCAUCAUGUUUCGACUUCGGUUGGGGUGUGUCAUAAAAGCCUCUUCAAGUCUUCAUGAUUUGGCUUGCAGAGAUAUGUGGCUCCAUAUGUGGCCUGAAUUGCCCCACAGAAGCGCUCCAGGUUUUUAAUAGCAGUAGUCUCCGCAAGUCGGCAAUACUCAUCAGUUGAGUUUGCAGAGCACUCAUUAGCUAGCAUCCGAAAUGCAGAUGUGAGCUUCUGAUGAGGUGAUAGACUUUGUCGGCCUACGACAUUUAUCUUCCUUGCAAAGUAGUGGUCAUGAUUGACAACUGUGUUCAAGAUGCUUUCAAAAAUCUCUCUCCUCAUUCGAAACCGUCUCCGAAAAUCAUGAGCAGGAAAUCUCGGACGCUCAAUAAAAUAAUAUUUCAUCAUUCGGUCAUGACACUCUUCUCUAUCACGUUGCACAAAUGAACGCUUCGUGACAUAACCACAAUAGCUAGAUUCGACAUGGUGCUCAUAUUGCAUAAGCGAGUUUGGAAGUUUAGCUUAUGCGUUGAUCAUUUUUGAAUCCUCAAUGUCAAGGCUUGCUUGGUAUUAUGUCAUUUGCAUUGCCCUGCUACACCUUCUUCUAUCAUCCAUUGUUGAUAUAUUGAGGAUUUUUAUGAAACAAAAACACUUUGAAAGUUGAAAGAUUAGUGAAUAUAGGGAAUGAUUGAAGGUUGAAAGAUUGUGUGACCAACUGAUAUUGAACAUGUGUUUAUAUAGAGGAUGAUUGAUGAAAGUUGAAAGUUUGGUGAAAGUUGAACGGUUGGUGAAAGUUGAAGAUUUGUGAAAGUUAAAGACUUGCUUUGUGGAAAGAUUUAGUGAUUUUUUCAAUAUUUAUUGGAAUUUAAAUAUUUUUAUAUUAAAAUGUUCAUAAAAUUAAUUUACCAUAGGCUACAUAAUUUUUUUUAAAAGUUAAUUUAAGAAAAAAAAUUAGCCUAAGUUCAUUCUUUAAUAAUCCCGAACUAAAAUUUUAGGCUAGGGUUGGAGCAGAAAAACUGUUUCUGUGUUAAAAGCUAAAUUUUUUAGAUUAAAAAUUUUAAAUUUUAACCCAAAGGUUGGAGAUGAUUUAAGAAUGGAUAAACUUAACCAAGAAAAGAAGAAAAAAGAUGAAGGGCAAAUAAGUGAGAAGCAACAUGACACGACACACGGACGACCAUAGCAAUAAAGCGUGCGUCCUCACGUCCAUUGAAUAUAUAGAUGGGAGCUACAACAUCGUGUUUCACGUGCAUGUGUAUUAUACAUAAAGGCAUAUACAGUGUUAGCUUAUAUAUUAUAAAGUUUGUAGGCCACUUACCCAAUUUGGCAUAUGUUUUAUCUUUUUACGUGAAUAACCAAUGUGUUAUGAUGAUACAAGUCUCUUAACAUAUCCGGAGUUAGAAAUAUCAUAAGACAGUGUUGCGAUCAUAUUGAAAUUAAUUGACAGUUUGUAUUAUAUAUUUGAUUAUUCUUUAUUAACUUAAGGAGACAGCAUACUUAGACCUAAUUUAGUCACAUUCUCCAACCGAAAAUAAAGCGGUGUAGUAUUCAUACACUUUUUUUUAUUUCUUACACAGUCUUAAUUAAUUUCUAUUGUUUGAUCUUCUUCAAUUCAUUCGAUCUGACGACCGAAAAUUAAGAUGGUGUGUGGACGAGUAAAUUAUAACAAUGGUCCCUCAACUUUAAUCAAAUUGGAGCAAGGGUGCUCAACUAAAAAUCCAUUACCAUUGGUUCCUCAACUCAUCAAAAUGUGUAGCUAUGGUCAUUUUCGUCAACUUCGUUACAAUUUUGUCAAAAUAAGUUAUAUUGGAAUGACUAUUGCUACAAUUGGGGUCCCUCAACUCAUCAAAACGUGUAGCUAUGGUCAUUUUCAUCAAUUUCGUUAGAAUUUUAUCAAAAUGAGUUUUGUUGGAAUGACCAUUGCUACAAUUGAAUUAAAGUUGAGGGACUAUUAUUUCAAUUGAGUUAAAGUUGAAAGAUCAUUUCUUCAGUUGUAUUAAAGUUGAAGGAUCAAUGGUAAUGAAUUUUUAGUUGAGGGGACUAUAGCUGCACGUUUUAAUGAGUUGAGAGAACAAUAAUAAUGAAUUUUUAGUUGAAAAACUAUUACUUCAAUUGAGUUAAAAUUAAGAAACAAUUGCUACAAUUUUUUUAUAUGGAAAGUGGAUGAUGUGAAUAGCACAUCCAAAAAUAAAAGGGAACUUUAACGAAAAGCACCCGGUACUGUUCACUUUAACGAAAAACCACAUUUUUACACUAAAAAGUCAAUCCUGGUACUAUUCACUUUACCCUUUAUUUUGUCCUUAUCAUUAAAACUCAAAGUUUUCAAGCCCUUUUCAUUAGUUUUCCUAAAAUAAAAUGCACCACAAUUUGGUAGGAUCUUCCUGUUGAGAGUAAUAAAUUAAUAAUUGCCGAAAUAUUGGAUAAUUUGUCGGCCACAACGCUAUGAGGGAGUAUCUGGGGAUGAAUAUACUCUUGCCGACAGAUGCCCAAAUUCCAACUGCCAUUCAAAUGAGCCCUCCACCACCACCGGCCAUAAUAAAUUCUCUUUCUUUAGUGAAGAAGAAAAAGAGGUACUUGGCCCUCACCUCAACUUUUUGAGAAAGAACAAGUUUAUCGCUAUCAGAAUGUUUCGGUCAAUUAUAUAAGUUAUGUGUAAAUUUUUCUUUAGAUAACAUUACAUUAUUAUAUUUAAAAUGUUCCGUAACGAUAAAUUUGUUUCAUACAAAUUAUUCUCCAACUUCUUGGAUUUUUCUCCUUUUUCCCGAAAACCAGCUUAUAUUAGUGUUCAUCCUCUGUCAAUAUCACUCGCCCACAACUAUUCAACUAACUUUUAAUAAUUUGACAACGUGUCAUAUUUUUGUGCAAAGCGGGCCCAUUUUUGUGGGUGAUAUAAUAAUGGCGUAUGUGGUUUGUCAAGACAUAUACUCAUUUAUCCAUUAGCAGUUAGGUAAGUCACCUCACUCACCCACAGCCUAACACAUCAACAAAUAUUGCUUACAAAUUCUAGAAAAUUCGACCAAGAAAAAAAACCAAAUGCUCGCAAAUUAAAAUUGUGUAACAUGAUUAGUUUUUUAUCCAUUAGUAUUAAUUUUACGUUGGAAGAAAUUCCAAAUUUAUUCUUGUAAAGAGGGAUAUGAAAAUACUUUGUAUGUCUAUCACCAAAAUCUUCGAAUGUUUGAAUGGUUGAUUUUCAAGUCUCACACAAUUGGAUUUAGUUCAAGUGAGAAAGAAAUACACUCAAACUAUUAGAUAUGAGGAAUGAAAAUACACUACAAAAUCUUGUGAACAUUUCUAAUAUUCUCUUCUAUCUACUUUUUGUGAACCAAGUUUUUAUUUGUUUUUUUUUUUAACAAAAGAUAUUUUUUAUACUAGGGAAAUAAGGUGGGUUUAGCCUCAUAAUGGGCUAACAUAAUCUAGUUCAAACUUGCAUUUGGUGAGAAUCGAACCUAAAAUCUCUCACUUACAAGUGAAGAGGAAUACCAUUAGAAGUGUCAUGAAAUUAGCAGUCUUAUAUGUAAAAAAUUGAUUGACUAAAUGCUGUGUUAAAAAACAAGAUUAAUACUUGCAUCUCCCCACUUGGAAAAUGCAAAUAUUUCAUUUCUUGCAAAUAACGUAUAUCAUGCGUUCUGUUCAAUCGCAUAUUCAAAAAUGUUAAAAACAAGAUUAAUAUUUCUAUCUCCCCACUUGGAAAAUGCAGUAUUUCAUUUUUUACGAAUAACGUAUAUCCUGUGUUCCGUCCAAUCGCGUAUUAAAAAAAUGUGUGAAGUUUGGAUUAACUACACUCUUUGAGAAUUUCCUUAAAUAACCACUUUUUGAAAAUUUCUUAUAGGACUAAGUGAGUCUCCGCUGAGAAUUUCCUUAACUAACACAACACUACUUGAGUGAUAAUUUGUUAUAUCUUGAAUAGAGAAUAAAUCAGUUCCCUACUUUUGAAGGUACUAUUAACUUACACUAUAUUUGAAUGAGAACAAUAAACUUAGAAUUUAGAUGAAGGAAAUAAAACAGUUUCCUACUUUUGAAGGUACUACUCGAGUGAUAAUUUGUUAUAUCUUGAUAACGUGUCAUAUUUUUUUGCUAAGCGGACCCAUUUUUGUGGGGUGGUAUAAUAAUGGCGUUUGUUGUUUGUCAAGGGCAUAUACCCAUUUAUCCAUUAGCAGUUAGGUCACCUCACUCACCCACAACCUAGUACAUCAACAAAUAUUGCUUACAAAUUCUAGAAAAUUCAACCAAGAGAAAGAAAACCAAAUGCUCGCAAAUUAAUCUGUGUAACAUUAGUUUUUAUCCAUUAGUAUUUAUUUUACAUUGGAAGAAAUUCCAAAUUUAAUCUCGUAAAGAGGGAUAUGAAAAUACUUUGUAUAUCUAUUAUCAAAAUCUUUGAAUGUUUGAAUGAUUGAUCAUCAAGUCUCACACGAUUGAAUUUAGUUCAAGUGAGGAAGAAAUACACACAAACUAUUAUAUAUGAGGAUUGAAAAAUACACUACAAAAUCUUGUGAUAACAUUUCUAAUAUUCCUUUCUAUCUACAUUUUGUGAUAAGUUUUUUUUUUCCUUUUUUGAACAAACUAUAUUUAUCUACAUUAAGGGAGAGGAGGUGAUCUUAGCCUCACAAUGGGCUAGCAUAAUGUGGUUCAAAUUCGCCUUUGGCGAUAAUCGAACCUAAAACUUAUCAUUUACAAGUAAAUAGGAAUACCACUAGAUGGAUCAUGAAAUUAGCAGUCUUAUAGGUAAAAAAAAAUUGAUCGACUAAAUGAUGUGUUAAAAAACAAGAUUAAUACUUGCAUCUCUCCACUUGAAAAAUGUAGAUAUUUCUGUGAACACGGAAAAUUCCUGAAACGAAAGAGACAAGAACAACGUGCACAAAAUAAUAUUUUGGUGUUAAUGGAUUUGUUGGGUUACGAUCUCUUUUAACUUGAUCCUCUGAUUCGAUCUCCGUAAGGUGUUGAUUUAUGGAUGUUUCGUUGAUCCAAGGGCUGUUGAGGCUUGAUCUUAGAUGAACUGUUGGAAGUUUCUUCAAGGGGCCGUGGGCUUGAUCUUUGAAGGUGGAUUUGAGCGGAUCUUCAAGGAGCCGUUGGGGCUUGAUCUUGAGGAUGAGUGUUUCUUCAAGGGCCGUUAAGGCUUGAUCUUGAAUAACGGUGAUGAACGGAUCUUCAAGGGCUUUUGGGCUUGAUCUUGAAGAACGGUUGGAUGUGUGGAUUUGUUGAUGUUGUUGAUCCAAGGGCCGUCGGAGCUUGAUCUUGGAAGAACGAUGAACGAAGAACGAAGAACACUUUCUUCAAAGGCCGUCGGGGCUUGAUCUUGAAUUGGUGAUUGUUGAUCCAAGGGCCGUCGGGGCUUGAUCUUGGAAGAACGAUGAACGAAGAACGAAGAACACUUUCUUCAAGGGCUGUCGGGGCUUGAUCUUGAAUUGGUGAUUGUUAAUCCAAGGGCCGUCGGGGCUUGAUCUUGAUUCUUCGGGAUGAACGGAUGAUGAACAAUGAACACUUUCUUCAAGGGCCGUCGGGGCUUGAUCUUGAAUUGGUGGAAGUUCUUCAAGGGCCUUUGGGGCUUGAUCUUGAAGGUGGAUGAUUGUUGAUCCAAGGGCCGUCGGGGCUUGAUCUUGGGAUGAACAGUUGUGUGGAUUUGUUGAACACUUUCUUCAAGGGCCGUCGAUGCUUGAUCUUGAAUUGGUGGAAGUUCUUCAAGGGCCGUUGGGGCUUGAUCUUGAAGGAGGAUUUGACGAAGAACGAAGAGGGCUUUCUUGAUCCUUCGGGAUUUGCUUGAAUUUGGGAGGUUGGAUGCUUGAAAGCUUUAGAGUUUCAAAGCUUCAAGGAUUUUGGAUGUGUGGGGAGUAUUCUCUUCCAUUUUGGGAGUAGAGAAAUGUAUUUGUGAAUUGGUUUUUGAUACCUUGAUGUAGAAGCCUAUUUAUAGGCUUUGAGAAUGAAUCACCACCACAAAAUAUUUUUUUUCUUUUCCAAGCACCAUUGCCUAAUUUCCCACUUAAUACAAUUUUAAACUUGAAGUGGUAAUUUUAUGGCCUAAUUUUCCACUUAAUAUCAUUUUAAACUUGAUAUGUGCAUGCUUUGUCAUUGCCCAAAAUGAGAAGAAAACCUUGUUUUGAUCUUCAAUGAAUUGAAAUGUGCUUGCCUUGUCAUUGCCCAAAAUGAGAAGAAAAACUUGUGUAAUCCUUCAAGGGUAUUUCUUUUUAUUUUGUUGAGUCGCACACCAUGUGUACAAUUUGUAUGACACGUGGCAUAUGCCAUGUACGCCUUGACACGUCAAAAUUUUAAUGCGUUGGUGAACAUUUAUUUCACCGCAAUUUCGGUGUCUACAAAUGCCCCCACUUCAAGGUGCGUCGUAUACAUGUGCUUGUCACGUGUAGGAGAUGCGUUUUGAAGUCCCUUACUGUAGAUGUCAAUCCAAUGGCCAUCGAGGCUUGAUCUUGAAUUGGGCUGGAGAUUUCUUCAAGGGCCGUUGAGGCUUGUUCUUGGACUUUGUUUGAAAUUUCUUCAAGGGCCAUCGAGGCUUGAUCUUGAAGGUUGAAAUUGGACCACAAGGAGCUUCAUGUGGUAGAUGAUCUUUGGCUUUGGUAGUGGAUGAAUCGGCACGUAUUUGUUUUUGCGCUUUGUUGACUUUCCACAGCUUUGAUCUUGAACUGGGUUGGAGGAUUUUUUGGAUUCCUCCAAUUGUUGAUUUUCCACAGUUUAUUCUUGAACUGGAUUUGAUUCAAAUAUGGUGGACGCUUGAUCUUGAAUCGGACUUGUGAUUUCCUCAAGGGCCGUCGAGGCUUGAUCUUGAAUUUGGCCGGAAACUUCUUCAAGGGCCGUUGAGGCUUGAUUCUUGAAGGUUGACUCGAACACAUGGCAAGCAGGCACGAGGUGAAGGUGACGACUUGUUGCUUUGUUCAAUCUUUCUAAUUCACACCUGAGCAGUUUGGUCAACGGUAUGAUCUUCAAGAUUGAUGGGCUCUUCUUCCAGUUGGUGAUUUGAUCUUUAAGGAUUUGAUUCAAGGGUGGUGAAACGGCACAUGCAGCCCACAACGCCUAGCAAGUCGACCCAAGAAUUUGAGGGUUAAAACGAGUCCUCCACCCAGAGUGAUUGCAAACCUGAUGAUAUGAGAUACUUUUGAUUUUGAAGAAGUAGCGGAUGAAUCGGCACGUGCUUUGUUGUGCUUGUCUCCACAUGCUUCAAUGUAUCAUUUUCCCUUGUCUUAUCUAUUCUUCUAGCAGAAUGUAGCAUCUUCUUAAGUUCUUCAACUCAGACUCCUUCUGCUGAGCUGACUGUGCAGGCUGCAUUAUUCUCUGCUUGUUUCUUUAGGCAGAUGUGGCAGCUUCUUGAGUUCCUCAGCUCGGACUCCUUCUGCUGAGCUGAUUGUGAAGACUGCAUUCUUAUCUGCUUGUUUCUUCUGUACGUUGUCUCCACAUGCUGCAAGGUAUCAUUUUCAAUUGCCUUAUUUGUUUUCCAGGCAAAUGUGGCAUCCGAGUUUGAGUGGAGGUUCUGGCAUAUUGUUUUCUUUAUCCUUGUCUUUGUAGGUAAGAACAAGGACAAAGGAAAGGACAGGGAGAACGCAUGAUAUGAUAUACUCUUGCUUUCUACCCUGGUGAUAUGAGAUACUUUUGCUUUGGUGUCAUUUGUUUGCAGAGGUACCCCAAGGAAUAAGAAACACUGAGUGACUCGAGAGGCUUUGUUGGGAAGGCAUUCUAGGAGAUGAAGAAAGGUUCUUGGAGAUGAAGAAAGGUUCUCGGAGAUGAAGAAAGGUUAUGUAUGUCUGCCUUGCUAUGGAGGGUAAAGGUGGACAGUUAUAGGAAAUUCUUUAGUACCUGUAGAGGUACUAUUCUUUUACUCGUGUCGGCAACCAAUGUGUGAUUGAUCAGUAUGGCUUCACGUGUUUUCUUCUUUAUCAGAAAUCUUCGACAAAUUGUCCGUAAUUUUCGUCAAGCUGAGUGUGCAUGUGACAGGUGUUGACGAGGCUGAAAAAGACUGGUGCCUCUUCGAUAUCUGGGAUCGGCGCUUCGACAAAUUGCCCGUGAUUUCCGCAAAGCUGAGUUUGCGCGUGACGGGUGCUGACGAGGCUGAAAAAGACUGGCGCCUCUUCGAUAUCUGGGAUUGGCGCUUUAACAAAUUGCCCAUGAUUUCUGCAAAGCUGAGUUUGCACGUGACGGGUGCUAACGCGUCUGGAAAAGCAAGAUGCUUCUCCGAUUUCUGAGCUUGCCUCUUUGAUUUUUGAAUUGGCCUCUUCGAAUUCUGAGCUCGCCUCUUCGAUCUUUGAAAUCCCAUCGAGUGUUGAUCUUUAUAGAGGCACGCAGUUCGUUUCAAAGCACACUUGAAUUUUCGCUUGUAGAAACUCCCUUCUUGCACUUCUAAGAUCUUGAUUUGUCCGACCUCUUCUUUCUUCAACACCUUUGAAAAUGUCUGGACCCUCCGACCGUCAUUUUGAUUUGAACCUUGGUGAAGAGGUAGUCCCGUCUUCUCCAGAUAACAUAUGACGCCCAUCUUUCAUAUCCCCUACUGGUCCUCUUACCGUUGGGGAUUCGGUGGUGAAGAAUGAUAUGACCGCUGCGGUGGUGGCCCGAAACCUUGUCACUCCCAGAGAUAACAGACUACUUUCCAAACGGUCUGAUGAGUUGGCUGUUAAGGAUUCUCUGGCUCUCAGUGUGCAGUGUGCAGGUUCUGUGUCUAAUAUGGCCCAACGCCUAUUUGCUCGAACCCGUCAAGUUGAAUCAUUGGCGGCUGAAGUGAUGAGUCUCAAACAGGAGAUAUUAGAGGGCUCAAGCAGAGAGAUAAACAGUUGCAUAAGCUCGCACAUAGCUAUGCGACAAACAUGAAGAGGAAGAUUAACCAGAUGCAGGAAUCUGAUGGUCAGAUUUUACUUGAUCAUCAGAGGUUUGUGGGUUUGUUCCAGCAGCAUUUGCCUUCGUCUUCUGGGGCUGUACCGCGUAAUGAAGCUCCAAAUGAUCAACCCUUGGCUCCUCUUCUUCCUGGAGUUCCGCCGAGUGGUGUGGCUUCAAACAGUCAACCUCCGACGCCUCUCAUUUCUGGAGCUCUGCUGAGUGGUGAGGUGGCACCUAAUCGUCCUUGAAGAUCCCCUCUUGUAAAUUUGAUUUGAUUUUUUUUUAAGUAUGUAUAAUGCAAAUUUAUGUAAAAUUUCCAGAAAAAAUAAAUAAAAACGGACUUUAUUUCUCUCAAUGCAUUUGUUUUGUUUUGUUUUUGUUUUUUUUGUUUUUUUGUUUUUGUUUUUUUUGUAAAUACAUAAUAACAUAUGUAUUUAUUUAUUUAUUCUUUUGUAAUAAAAUUGACUUUCUUUAAUAAAACUUUUAUAUUUUUCUUAUUUAUUUUGAUAUGACUGAACUCGAAAUUGAAUGUUCGAGCCGCCUACGUACCCUUCCAAAGAAGAGAUCAAGCCAUAACGUAGUUCAAAUGAGUGAUGAAUUUAAUAGUGAUUUUGAUGAUGAUUUUGCCGUACACAGUUUAUGCUCUUGUGGGCCAGGAGCUUUGGUGUUGCCUUUUAUGCUCGUGCAGACCAGGAGCGUUGAUGUCGCCUUUUAUGCUCGUGUGGGUCAGGAGCGUUGAUGUUGCCUUUUAUGCUCGUGCAGACCAGGAGCUUUGUGCCAUGCAGUUUAGACUCGUGCGGGCAAGGAGCUUUGGUUCGUGCAGUUUAGGCUCAUGCGAACAAGGAGCAUUGGUUCGUGCAGUUUAGGCUCGUGCGAACAAGGAGCAUUGGUGUUGCCUUUUAUGCUCGUGCAGACCAGGAGCUUUGUGCUAUGCAGUUUAGACUCGUGCGGGUGAGGAGAAUUUGUGAAUUUUGUCAAGCACUUUUGGAGAGGCGUUCCUUACAAUCUUCAUAGCAAGGAGCCUUGACCGAGUGAUUGAAGAAGUCUUCGGGAAAGAAGUCGCACAUCGUGAUGGCAACAGACGAUCUUUGUGUCGUAAUUUCAUCAUCUUCAACACGUUCACGUUGCUUUGAAGGUUGACAAGAGCUGCUUUGCCCCCUUUCCGAUUGGCGGACUUGUGGAGGAGACGUAUGCUUCUUGUGCCAUUUCUUAGGAGUGACUUGAGUCCAUCCUUCAAGUUUGCUUGUUUUGGAGGAUGCCCCCGGCGGUUGAGGUGAAAAUUUUGUGUUGAAAGAGCCAGAAGUGAUGGUGGUAUAGUUUGACUUCACCACAUCGUCAAGAUCUAGCUCGAUGAUUCCUUUCUGAGCCCACUUUAUGAUGAGAUCUUUCAGCACAAAGCACUUUUCUGUCGGAUGACUGAUGAAGCGGUGGAAUUUACAGUAUCUUGGACUGUUGGUACGAUUCAUCUCUUCCGGCCAUCUGCACUCAGGCAAACUGAUCACCUUCUUGUCCAACAGGUCAUCCAACAUGGCAACCACAUCAGAGUCAGGGAAUGGAUAAGUCUUCUCUUUAAGCUCCUUCAAAGUGCGUCUACGCAUCUCUUGAUCACGAAAAGCUUCGGUUUGAAUCGUUUUGCCUCGUGUGGAGAUUUUGACGGGAGAUGUGUUGACUGUCAUUGCUUCCUUGGUGGAUUUCCACGUAGCCUUCUCCACCUUUGUCUCAAGAAUUUUGUCGUUCUUGUAGUCGGCGAUCGGUUCCUUCUUCCCAUGAUGGGUGAUGCUCAACUCCAUGUCAUGGGCGUGGGUGGCCAAUUCCUCGAAGGUCCGUGGUUUAAUGCCUUGAAGGAUGUAUUGCAAACCUCAUUGCAUGCCUUGGAUGCACAUCUCGAUUGAAGAGGUCUCCGAGAGCCUAUCUUUGCAGUCGAGGCUUAGAGUGCGCCAUCUGUUGAUGUAGUCAAUGACCGGCUCAUCUUUCCAUUGCUUCAUACUUGUGAGCUCCAACAUGCUUACAGUGCGGCGGGUGUUGUAGAAGCGGUUGAGGAAUUCCCGCUCCAAUUGCUCCCAGCUGUUGAUGGACUCAGGCUCUAGGUCCGUGUACCACUCAAAUGCGUUUCUUUUCAGCGAGCGCAUAAACUGCUUGGCGAAGUAGUCCCCCUCCGUCCCCGCGUUGUUGCAAGUUUUGACGAAAUGUGCAACGUGCUGCUUUGGGUUUCCUUUUCCAUCAAACUGCAUGAACUUUGGUGGUUGAUAUCCCAUCGGCAUCUUUAGGGCAUCAAUCUUCUUUGAAUAAGGCUUUGAGUACAACCCGGAGGUAUUUGAGCUCCCUUCGUACUAUGCCUUGACGGUGCUGGCAAUCAUCUCUUGCAACUGUUGGAUAGAAAGAGAUCCCAUGAGUGCCGCUUCUUGGUCUGGCUCCGGCUUCACAUCGAUUUUCUCCACCGUAGGCUCAUCUUCUGGGUUAGGGUUCUCGCUGUCCUGUGGCUCCAGUUGACUGAUGAGUGCAGCGAUUUGCAAGUCUUUUUCUUCCACAGUUCGGGUUAGCCUUGCGAUUGCUUCAUUCAUUUGAGCCAGUUGUUCUUCGAUGGAGGUAACGCCGAUGGUCAUGACUUGUGCAACCAAUAGACGUGACUUUCCUUUAGACAUCCAAGAUGCUGAAGAAGAACGUCAUUGGUUGUUUUGGGAUGUCAUCUUGUGUGCCUCAGCAACAUGCUUUGGUGCCCCCAGCGAGGUCAGGUUGAUGACAGACUCACACCUUUGAUGCUCCCUUUGCUCUUUUAGCGGCACCAACUUUGAAGUGGCAUGUUAAGGAGCGGUUGUGGUGCUAAUGGAUUGUCCAUUUGCGGCAGAAGUGCUUAGGAUCCUUCCCUCAGUGAUUGCGAGAACGGCUUGUCCCUUGCUUGAUGCCAUUGAUUUUGAGGUGUGUUUGGAUUCCUUAAACGGAGAAAGAUAUGAGAGGUAGAGAUUGUCCCACCGGGCGUGCCAAUUUGUGAACACGAAAAUUUCCUGAAACGAAAGAGACAAGAACAACGUGCACAAAAUAAUAUUUUGGUGUUAAUGGAUUUGUUGGGUUACGAUCUCUUUUAACUUGAUCCUCUGAUUCGAUCUCCGUAAGGUGUUGAUUUAUGGAUGUUUCGUUGAUCUAAGGGCCGUCGAGGCUUGAUCUUGGAUGAACUGUUGGAAGUUUCUUCAAGGGGCCGUGGGCUUGAUCUUUGAAGGUGGAUUUGAGCGGAUCUUCAAGGAGCCGUUGGGGCUUGAUCUUGAGGAUGAGUGUUUCUUCAAGGGCCGUUAAGGCUUGAUCUUGAAUAACGGUGAUGAACGGAUCUUCAAGGGCUUUUGGGCUUGAUCUUGAAGAACGGUUGGAUGUGUGGAUUUGUUGAUGUUGUUGAUCCAAGGGCCGUCGGGGCUUGAUCUUGGAAGAACGAUGAACGAAGAACGAAGAACACUUUCUUCAAAGGCCGUCGGGGCUUGAUCUUGAAUUGGUGAUUGUUGAUCCAAGGGCCGUCGGGGCUUGAUCUUGGAAGAACGGUGAACGAAGAAUGAAGAACGAAGAACACUUUCUUCAAGGGCCGUCGGGGCUUGAUCUUGAAUUGGUGAUUGUUAAUCAAAGGGCCGUCGGGGCUUGAUCUUGGAAGAACGAUGAACGAAGAACGAAGAAGGCUUUCUUGAUUCUUCGGGAUGAACGGAUGAUGAACAAUGAACACUUUCUUCAAGGGCCAUCGGGGCUUGAUCUUGAAUUGGUGGAAGUUCUUCAGGGCCUUUGGGGCUUGAUCUUGAAGGUGGAUGAUUGUUGAUCCAAGGGCCGUCGGGGCUUGAUCUUGGGAUGAACAGUUGUGUGGAUUUGUUGAACACUUUCUUCAAGGGCCGUCGAUGCUUGAUCUUGAAUUGGUGGAAGUUCGUCAAGGGCCGUUGGGGCUUGAUCUUGAAGAAGGAUUUGACGAAGAACGAAGAGAGCUUUCUUGAUCCUUCGGAAUUUGCUUGAAUUUGGGAGGUUGGAUGCUUGAAAGCUUUAGAGUUUCAAAGCUUCAAGGAUUUUGGAUGUGUGGGGAGUAUUCUCUUACAUUUUGGGAGUAGAGAAAUGUAUUUGUGAAUUGGUUUUUGAUACCUUGAUGUAGAAGCCUAUUUAUAGGCUUUGAGAAUGAAUCACCACCACAAAAUAUUUUUUUCUUUUCCAAGCACCAUUGCCUAAUUUCCCACUUAAUACAAUUUUAAACUUGAAGUGGUAAUUUUAUGGCCUAAUUUUCCACUUAAUAUCAUUUUAAACUUGAUAUGUGCAUGCUUUGUCAUUGCCCAAAAUGAGAAGAAAACCUUGUUUUGAUCUUCAAUGGAUUGAAAUGUGCUUUGCCUUGUCAUUGCCCAAAAUGAGAAGAAAAACUUGUGUAAUCCUCCAAGGGUAUUUCUUUUUAUUUUGUUGAGUCACACACCAUGUGUACAAUUUGUAUGACACGUGGCAUAUGCCAUAUAUGCCUUGACACGUCAAAAUUUUAAUGCGUUGGUGAACAUUUAUUUCACCGCAAUUUCGAUGUCUACAAUUUCAUUUCUUGUGAAUAAUGUUUAUCCUGUGUUCUGUCCAAUCGCGUAUUAAAAAAUGUGUGAAGUUUGGAUUAACCACACUCUUUUAGAAUUUCCUUUAUUUACCACUUUUUGAGAAUUUCCAAUAAGACUGGGUGAGUCUCCGCUGAGAAUUUCCUCAACUAACACCACACUACUUGAGGGAUAAUUUGUUAUAUCUUUGAAUAAAGAAUAAAACAGUUUCCUACUUUUGAAGGUACUAUUAACUUACACUAUAUUUGGAUGAAGGUCAAACUUUAUAAAUUGACAUACACCAAAUUCUUUGUUUGGAUUCAUAAACAUAUAAAUUUAGAAUUUCCGCGUGGAAAAAAAAAAUACUUAGAAUUUGAGACCUCCAAUUCUCAAAUUGAAAGUUUAAAAAUAAUAAAUUCCGUAUUCAAUUCAAUUGUUCUUUUAGGUUAACCAAAUAAGAAAAUUCACAAAUUCUAAAAUAUAAAAUCUCAUCAUUUCAAUUUCCGUCAUUUUAAAAUUCCUUAGUAAUAUUAAAUUUCUUCAUCCAAACAUAGUGUUAAGAAAUUUUUUAAAGAUACACUAUUUACACUCAUUUUUAUUUCUUACACAUUUAUUAACUUUGUCCAUUGAUUUCUUCAAUUCAUUUUGCCAGUUAUACAAAAAUUGAGAACAGUAUUUAUGAAUUAAAAAUACAUUUGUAGAUGUCACUACCAAAUUUUUAUUCCUAAUUCAAGAAAAUCUUAUCCAUAUAUGAUUGCCCUUGCCCACUUUAAAUGGGUGCCAUCACUUUACGAUAGAGCAAUCCUAACCGUCCACCUAGGUAAGCAUAACUGGCGAUGCAUGUCGCAAGGGGACCGCAUUGCACAAUAUAAUUAUACUAGUUGAUAAGACAAGUGAUGUCAAUCAAUAAAUUAUUUCAUUAAAACUUAGUUGUAUGUAUCAUAUGUUGUAAUGUAGGGUGUAUGAUAUGCUGACGCUGUAAAAAAAUGUAACCUUUUUAAUAUUACUCAUAAUAGUAAGACUUACCAGUAUUAGGAUGUUAUCAGUGGAAUGAGAAUCCUCUCCAGAUCUUUUUUGUGAGCUAUUAUUUGUAUUUAAUUUUAAAUAUAAAAAAUUAAAAUAAUUUAUGACGGCAGUGAUUCACAUGAUCUUCACAAAGAGAAUCCAAAUAAUCUUAAUUUAUAUCAGUGUGUCUAGAUAACAUGAUCGAGCCCCUUUACUUUUACCCUAUUUAGUAUUUUACAUUUGAACCUGUAAAUAUUCGAUUUUUCUUUGGUGCAACCGAGCACCAAAUAUAGAUUUUUUUUCACUUUUAUAUAAUGAUAAAUAAAGGGCAAUUGGCAGAUUUGAAUUCCAUUCGGAUUGGUCAAAAAUCAUUUUAAAUUGUUUUAUUUAAAAUUAAACACAUAUAGUACUUAAUAAAAAUUAGUCGUACAAUAUACGAUAAACAGAUAUAAUGUAAGGACCUUUAUGAUCUUCACAAAAAAGAUCCAAAGGUUGUGUAGCUGUUUCAAAAGGAUAAUACUCACUUUUGAUUAGUUCAAUGAAAUUUUAAACAUGUUUUAUUGUUUUAAAAAAUAAUAAACAUAUUUAUUAAUGUUUGUUUUACUUUAAAAAAUAAGCAGCACUUGACAACAUUUGAUUGUGCUAAAUAAAAAAUGAGUGACCACUUAGUACUACAGUCUUAUGAUAUUUUUCUUCAUUUGAAAGUGAGAGGUUUUAAGUUCGAAUCUCGUGGAUGACGAAUUUGAUAUCAAAUUAGAUUGCUCACUAUGUGGCUUAGCCGAACUCUCAUUUCCUUUAAUGUAAAAAUAUUGAUGUAUUCAAAAAAAUAAAAAGUGACUAUAGAGGACACUCAAUCUCAGCUGUAUGAUUAAAUCAGACGGUAAGAAAAAUUCUGCAAGCAUACUCGGUUACAUUAAUUGAAGAAAAAAUGGGUAAAUAUUGGGCACCAACGUUAUAAAUACCCUCCACCAUGCACCCAACUCCCUCACACCAUCACAACCCACGUUACAAAUCCUCCUCCUCAUCAUAACCAUUCUGUUUUCCGCAUAAUAUCCAAAAACCUAUCAUGUCUGAAGAGAAACACCACCGCGGUCUCUUCCACCACCACAAGGAUGAAGACAAACCCUCAGACUACCCUCAGUCUGGCUACUCUGAUGAAGGACGUCCCGGCGGCCUCGGUGGUGGUUACGGCGACACCAAUGAUUAUUCUGGUGAAGGACGUACCGGCGGCCUAGGUGGUGGCUAUGGCGACACCAAUGCUUAUUCUGGUGAAGGACGUCCCGGCGGCUAUGGCGGCUAUAACGAGACCACUGCUUACUCUGAGGAAAGAGUUGAAAGACCCGGCGGUGGCCGGUACAGUGAGACUACUGCGGCAUAUGGCAGCACCACCACUCAUGAAUCUGAACUUGAUUACAAGAAGGAGGAGAAGCACCACAAGCAU